rnacentral:lncRNA from 1 species
UGAUGAUGAUGGUGAGUGAAGGGGGGGAGGUUCCUAAAUUAGGAGACAGAAAAGAAGCAAGAUGAUUGGUAAAUGAGGGACAAAAACAAAGUAUCAUUGUACUAGUUGUCACCCUUAGCUAAUAAGACAUUACGUUGAAAAUUACACAACUUGGGGGGGUGUUUCUAUGGUCCCAAAGGAAGUGUUUAUAAUUAGGCAAAAAAUCAGAUUAGGACAAAACUAAAGCAUAUAUAUGAAAGAUAGAUAGACAGAUGCAGAUGAUGCAGAUGCAGAUGAUGCAGAGUUAUAUAUUAUGAUGCCGAUGCCAUGUUACAGACAAGAAAACAAACAUCUAAUUUGGACAACUAAUGAAUGCUUUCGGUCUCUUAACUUCACUUGCUUGGAUUAACCGAUGUGUGUUUUUGUUUGGUAACUGGUUUGGUGUUUGUUGUUCGUACAUUUCUUGGUUGCUGCAGCUGUUUGGAAUUUUGCAUUACCCAUCCAUCCAUCUCCAGAUGGCAUUUAGAAACAUGUUUUCGUACUUUACAAUGCACACCAGAAUCACCCCAACUGUAGAAGUGGAUAACCAUAGGAUUCAGUAUACAGAUAAUUUAAUUAGAACUUGUUUCAAUGUUGGGCAAUUUUUUCGUGCAAUUUUUGUGUUCUUGAGGGAGUGCUCUUGAUUCUUAAUAUUUGUAUUCCAUGCAAAAAAAUAUGGGCUUCUCAAUGAGAUACAGGCUUCAUAAAUGGCGAGUUCUUUUGAACUAACUCACUAGUCGAUGAGGAGUUGAAUGCAGCCUAACGUUUUGCCUCGAUGGCAUAUGUUUCCAGGAGCUGUUUCCUUCUUUCGCAUCUGAAGCAGAAUGUGACACAGACAAUUACAUUAGCUACUACUUACAAGUCAACAGUCGUUUCAUUCAAGUCCGCUAAACAGAAGACCACUGGCUUCAUCAUGUGGUGCAAGACCACUCCUCACAGCUUCAUGCAAUUGUCAGUUUGCAAUCACUAGACGCCCUACCCCUGCGGAUAUCAGUGCCCACUUCAGGAUAUGCUACUAUAUGCUCAUGAGCUAGUUUAAAGCAAAGCGUUUCAUACUAUAAUAAUAUCAUGAUUGCCGGUACAGAAAAGAACACAUAACGAUACAAGUGAUUGUUGACCCUUAAAAUCGCCAUCCACCGACCUGCAAGUUUUGUGUCCUAUAACAUGGCAGAACCAGUUGAGACGUCAAACCCAGGAGGGAUAAAAACAACAUCAUUCCACGCCGAUGUUUCCUGCAACAGUCAAAACAACAGCAAAAAUAGUACAUAUAGUAGGUUAGUAACAAUAGAAUUCGCAUGAAGCUUUGUCAGAUGCCAGGCUCAACCAGUCAACCUUGUCUUUGUUUUUCAUCAGCCACUACUUUCAAACAUCUCAGACAAACAAGGCUCAAAGAUUUUACCUGCAUGGACUUAAUUACGUCUUCAAACACAGCCACCUACAGAAAAGAAAAUCUGGGUAUUCAACAGGGUGAACUUUAAAGUAAAAAAACAACUCCAGAAUCAAAAUCUAUAGAUACCUCAAUGCCCCCUUCUUUUAAAGCAGGAUUUAGUUUCUUCUGAUCUUGUGAAGCACGUAAUAGUGAUUUCUCUAAAUCCUCCUAAGAUAUUGACCAAAAAGUUAUUGAUGAAAAAUGUCAAGGCAUUAGAUCACAGAACAAAAAUGAAGAAAGAAAGAAAGAGAUUAGUGUCUGUGGAGCAGGUCAGCACUCCCUAACUAACCUUUCUAAAGAACACUGGCCGAUAGCUCUUGUUUUUGCUUCUCAACACCAGACUCGUUGACUGGAAUACAAACACGUGAAAUGACUAUGAGAAAAUAGUUGAAGUAUGGAAAAUGAGCAGAAGCAUGAACUUAUGAGUGAAUGAAACAUGAAAUUUCUUACAAGCGCCUUGCCUUUAAAUGUACAAAUUCCAAUAUAUACACGGAUAAUUUGUGCAAUAGGAAUGCCAGUUGGCCUUAUUGAUUAAAUUUUCUAGUAUGUUCUACACUAACAUCGUGGCGUUCAGUUUCAGUCCAACCUACACCAUAACAUCAGGAGCUCCCAAAUGGCUAUAAGUUCCUUAGGGGAAAAAACAAUCCAAAGAAUUGAAGUAAUAAGAGACUAGAUAUACAUCAUAGCAGUAAGAGUAACUGUUAUAGCGAGCUUUUGCUUUAGUACUGUUCGCACAAGGCGGAAUACACAAAAAUUACAACAUACAUAGUGAAUUUAUUAGAGUAUCACAUAAUGGUAAAUGAAUCUGGUACCUGGAAAACUGGAACUCCAGGGAACCCGUCAUCAGAAACCCCAGCAUUUUUCAGCUCCUACAUGUGAUUGGGAGAAAGUAAGCAACUUUGAUGAAUGCAGAUAUUAAUGGUUAAACUGAAGUACGCCAGAAAAAAGAUAGAUACUUGUACAAAUGAAUGACAUUAAUUACAAUUGUCACGAGUUUUUUUAUUAGCACUUGUGUUCGGUAAAAGCACUCCAUAGGUUAGUUAGACUAUGCUCAUUGGUGUAUGAAACUGAUAAUCAGGUACCCAUGAAACAGGAACUGUUACUACAGGAAUUAAGUAGCUCACGAAGUCCCAAAGAAAAACAAUGGCUAAUAAUGAUGGGCAACAACAUGCAGAAAAGAAAAAACGAGCCUCACUGAUUUGUAAAACCUGCUCAUAAGGCAAACUCGCACUAUGACAUUGAAGCUGGUAGUAAAGAGGAGGCAUAGGAUGUCCCAUAUCUUUCAAGACACACCAUUUGGAGAAUCAAAGCUGCGAAGUUCAAAUAAGAGAAACAUAUAGACGUUUAACAAAAGUCUACUUUUGUGGUCACAGCAGAGCGUUAAAUUUCUUGACCAACUAUGCAAUGCGUUUGUUCUUUCUUAAGCUAUGCGGACUCUACAGUUACCGAUCAUCCAUACAAGUCCAUCCAGAGCGUUAAAUUUCUUGACUGAGGACAAAGUUCAAACUACUUGAGAUUUGAGAACACUAUAAAUUAUGUAAAAGUUGCACACAGGUUUGAAGCUUAAACCACAUUAUCGUUCACUCACAUCACUCAUCAAUCAAUGGACAGAUAGCAGUGCAAUAAGUAAGAUGAAAGCAGGCCACUAUCCAGAUACAAGUUUGAAUUUCAAAGCAACAAAAACACAAAUCUAUGAUCUUUAGAAUUGCGAAUAUUUCACCAAUAGUAACACUUACGUUAAGUGCGUUCUUGACUUGAGCAUACUCAGGUAUCAACCUGAAGGAAACCCCAUCGACUUUUAGUUGAAAAACCUGCCAGUUAGUCAACGCAAAGUUAAAACAAAGAGGGACACAAUUGUUUAUUAGGGUUGGGCGAAAUCGGAUUGAAGAGCAACUGGGGAGCAAGCAAACCUUGUUCAAAGCAACAGCAACAACUUUGGAGCCACCGCUCCGCAUGAGAGGGUCCAUGCUCUUCAUCUGGAGAAGGAGAGUAUCGGCGUCCUCUUUCUUGAAGCACAUCAGUCCGAGAGACUUGGGAGUGGAAGAAGAAACUCCGGAGACGAGAACGAACUCAUCACGGGAGUUGCUGAGGGCAUAAACCGGUACGCCUGCCAACCGAGCCUCGAUGGCUUGAGAGGUCAAAGGAGGAGGAGUGGUGGCGGAGGGAGGUUUGGAGAGUUGGAGAAGAGACGGGUCAGAGGGAAUCCGAGCCCAGAGAGGGCGAGAUUGAGAACUGGUAAGCAAUUGGGAAUGGAGGUGGGUUUGAAAAGAAGAGAUGGCGUUGGGAUUGAAGAGAGGGAGCUGGGAGAAGUUGUUAAGGAAGGCGGAGUAAUGGGUUUGGAGCUUGGAGAAGGCAUCCCGGAGGUCCAGUUCUACUAGGUGGCGACGCCGUUGGUCGGAGGAACUAGUCAUUUUUGCAGGAGGAAGGAGCAGCUAUAAUUUGGCGGCAGAAGACGAAGAAGAAGGAGUGUUCUAGUGGCAGCGCCGGCAUGGGGUUUAAGAGGCAUUUCGGAUUUGAGCUCAGGAUUUAGACUUUAGCGGGCCUCAACCCUGGGCUACAGACGAACAUGGCCCGCUUCACAAUGGCCACUUGGCCAAGUUCUUAUCUAAGACUCUAACGAAGCUGCGUGUUUGCUGAACUAUGUUGUUACGAAUAUGCACCGGGCGGGUGGGCGUACUCCUUACGGAAUGUCACCUCCAUUCUCUCUACCAUAUGCUUUUGGUCUCCAUCUACCAUAUUUUUUAUUGGUUCAUGAAUUUGUUCGUUAUUUUAAUCCUUGUAAUUGUUUAUUAAAUUAUAACUAAAUUUUCGUAACGCACGUUACUGCUUACCAUAGUUAAUGUGUAGUAUACAUUUUCUCACCCGUAUACUAAAAUAAUUUAUAAACAAUAAAACAUGAUAUUUUGUUUGAUAUGAUCAAGUACACAUACACUAACUUAACUUUUAGCUACAUGGUGCAAUAUAUUAUCAAAACAUCACAAAAUACAUACACUCCAAGUUGUCGUUAGCUUAACAACGCAUACUAAAAUAUGCUAUUAAACUUUAUAUCUAACUUGAAAUCCUAAAUUGCCGUCAAUUUAACAAUGGAUCUAAAAAAUUUGCUAUUAAACCGUUCAGAAAAAUUAAAAUAUUUAAAAUUUCACUCCCUCUUUCUUUCUCCCUUUCUCCAAAAUUUAAGUUACUUUUUUAUUUUUUUCAAAAAUUUGAAAUUUUUGCUCCCUUAUUUCUAUUCCUUCCAUCUCCUUCAUUUUCAUUCUUCUUCAUUUAUGUGUUUGAUGGACAUAAAAAUAAUUAAAAAUUAAAAAUUAACGAAGAAAAAUAAAAAUAAAAAGAAGACAAAAAAAGAAGAAUCAAAGGAGAAAAUUGUAGCUUCAACCUUCACCAAAAGAGGAGGUCAUAAUUAGACGACUUUUCGAAAAAAACGAUGAGUNNNNNNNNNNNNNNNNNNNNNNNNNNNNNNNNNNNNNNNNNNNNNNNNNNNNNNNNNNNNNNNNNNNNNNNNNNNNNNNNNNNNNNNNNNNNNNNNNNNNNNNNNNNNNNNNNNNNNNNNNNNNNNNNNNNNNNNNNNNNNNNNNNNNNNNNNNNNNNNNNNNNNNNNNNNNNNNNNNNNNNNNNNNNNNNNNNNNNNNNNNNNNNNNNNNNNNNNNNNNNNNNNNNNNNNNNNNNNNNNNNNNNNNNNNNNNNNNNNNNNNNNNNNNNNNNNNNNNNNNNNNNNNNNNNNNNNNNNNNNNNNNNNNNNNNNNNNNNNNNNNNNNNNNNNNNNNNNNNNNNNNNNNNNNNNNNNNNNNNNNNNNNNNNNNNNNNNNNNNNNNNNNNNNNNNNNNNNNNNNNNNNNNNNNNNNNNNNNNNNNNNNNNNNNNNNNNNNNNNNNNNNNNNNNNNNNNNNNNNNNNNNNNNNNNNNNNNNNNNNNNNNNNNNNNNNNNNNNNNNNNNNNNNNNNNNNNNNNNNNNNNNNNNNNNNNNNNNNNNNNNNNNNNNNNNNNNNNNNNNNNNNNNNNNNNNNNNNNNNNNNNNNNNNNNNNNNNNNNNNNNNNNNNNNNNNNNNNNNNNNNNNNNNNNNNNNNNNNNNNNNNNNNNNNNNNNNNNNNNNNNNNNNNNNNNNNNNNNNNNNNNNNNNNNNNNNNNNNNNNNNNNNNNNNNNNNNNNNNNNNNNNNNNNNNNNNNNNNNNNNNNNNNNNNNNNNNNNNNNNNNNNNNNNNNNNNNNNNNNNNNNNNNNNNNNNNNNNNNNNNNNNNNNNNNNNNNNNNNNNNNNNNNNNNNNNNNNNNNNNNNNNNNNNNNNNNNNNNNNNNNNNNNNNNNNNNNNNNNNNNNNNNNNNNNNNNNNNNNNNNNNNNNNNNNNNNNNNNNNNNNNNNNNNNNNNNNNNNNNNNNNNNNNNNNNNNNNNNNNNNNNNNNNNNNNNNNNNNNNNNNNNNNNNNNNNNNNNNNNNNNNNNNNNNNNNNNNNNNNNNNNNNNNNNNNNNNNNNNNNNNNNNNNNNNNNNNNNNNNNNNNNNNNNNNNNNNNNNNNNNNNNNNNNNNNNNNNNNNNNNNNNNNNNNNNNNNNNNNNNNNNNNNNNNNNNNNNNNNNNNNNNNNNNNNNNNNNNNNNNNNNNNNNNNNNNNNNNNNNNNNNNNNNNNNNNNNNNNNNNNNNNNNNNNNNNNNNNNNNNNNNNNNNNNNNNNNNNNNNNNNNNNNNNNNNNNNNNNNNNNNNNNNNNNNNNNNNNNNNNNNNNNNNNNNNNNNNNNNNNNNNNNNNNNNNNNNNNNNNNNNNNNNNNNNNNNNNNNNNNNNNNNNNNNNNNNNNNNNNNNNNNNNNNNNNNNNNNNNNNNNNNNNNNNNNNNNNNNNNNNNNNNNNNNNNNNNNNNNNNNNNNNNNNNNNNNNNNNNNNUAAUGUGAGGACAACGAUCGCAAAUCAAUCUCGCUAUCGCAGUAGGAAGGGGACGACAGCAAUCAAUGUUUUAGGAGUCAUCAACCAAAACUUACAAUGGAUAUACUUACUCGCUGGAUGGGAAGGAUCGGCACAUGAUAGUAGGGUAUUGCGAGAUGCCCUAUCUCGUCCAGGAGGCUUUAGAGUACCCGAAGGUGAACAAUAUAAUUAACUUCCAUAAACAAUAUUUUGCUAAUUCUAUAUCAUUUGAUGAUUAUCUUAUGAAUGCAAUGUAUUUAACUUCCCUAAACAAUAUUUUGUAGGGAAGUACUACCUAUGUGAUGCCGGAUAUACAAACGCUAGAGGAUUCCUUACCCCGUUUCGUGGGCCACGAUACCACCUCCAAGAAUGGGGUAGAAAUCGCCCAAGGAAUGCUGAAGCAUAUUUCAACAUGAAACAUGCAAGUGCCAGAAACGUGAUUGAACGAGGUUUUGGGGUGUUGAAGAUGAGAUGGGCACUACUACGAGAUACUUCUUGGUAUUCUCCGAAAAUGGUUGGACUUUUUUUACAGCAUGUUGCCUACUUCACAAUUUCAUAAUGCAGAAUGGAGGGGCAGAUGUAUUCACCAUGGCAUAUACACCUACAGAAGUCAAAGAACCAACCAUGGAGGCAAACGAUGACAUCCCUGGGGGUGUGCAGACCACUGCUAAAUGGACUCAAUUCAGACAAGACCUUGCUCAACAUAUGUGGGCUAAUAGGGGGCGUUAAAAACUAUCGAGUUGUCUCGUCACUUGCUUAGAACAUCAUAAGUUAAUCUAUUAUGUAUUUGUAUUGCUUACUCUUUAUGGUUAAGCUCUGAAUCAUGUGCAAUGGAUGAACAUAUCAGUUCAGUUCACACCAUAGCUUUUGUUUUGCUUGUUUGUUUGUAUAUUGGAGAUAUUAUGGUGUUGGAGCUUUCAUUCAUGCUUGCUGCACUUCUAAUAUUAGAUAUAUGUUAAUUUCAAAUUGUAUAAUCAUUACUGUGAAAUCACUCAUUGACAGAGAUGAAGUUGCAGCCAUUAAUGGUUCUGUCAUAGCCUUUAAUGGUUUGGUGCUAAUUGUCAACUGCUAACCUAGCUAGCCUAUGAAAGUAGCCAUUACUGAACAUGCACUUAAUGAAAACCAGAGAGUGGUUAGUAGUACAUUUUCUGCAAGGUAUGGAUGUACUAUCAUUAAGAAGUGAAUUGCAGCGGCAGAUGGGUAGUUGCGUGCCAUUAAGAAGUGAACUAUAGGGGUAUAUAGUCUGUCCAUGUUUUGAAUGCUAAUGUGUGUUCCUUCUUUUACAUGCUUUGCAAGAGCAACAAAAAAUAUGAGGAGGAGAGCAAAUGCAGAAGGUGGUAGUCAGAGUACUCGAGAUUAUAGACUGUGGACCAAACUCGAGGAAAGGACACUGGUAGAGUGUAUGCUGGAGCUGACCGAGAAGGGACUCGUCGAGAAAGGAAACUUUCGAACAAGUGGGCUAAAGGAGCUGGAGAAGAUGAUGUAUGCGAAGUUGGUUGACUGUGAACUGAAGGCUCUUCCCCACAUAAAGUCCAAGAUUCGUUAUUUCAAGGAAAAGUUUAUGGCAUUUCUCCAACUCAAACAAGCAAGUGGUGUUGGUUGGGAUGAUAUUCGUGGCUGCAUCGUGGCUGAUGAUGAUAUGUUUAAUGAGUGGUUGCUGGUAUGUGGUAAUGUAUAAUAAAUAGUUUUCAUAAUUAGUUGUCUUGUUGUUUGUAAUGUUUUGUUUGAUUUGAUGUAGCAUCAUCCAAAAGCCAGUGGUUUAAACAACAAGCCUUUACCAUUCUUUGAGGAGUUAUGCAUCAUAUUUGGAAUGGACCAGGCCCUUGGAGUUAAUGUUGUGCAACCUUUAGAUGCAGCCAGCAAGUUGGAUUUGUAUGGCCCUGGUGACUUGAUGGGAGAACAAAAUGACACUUUCGAUUCAUAUACUAUUCCUGAGAACAUGGAGCAUACUGCAGUUAUGGAAGAGAUUAUCAAUCAAGGGAUAGACGUGCAUGCGACCAGUCUGAAAGCGGUAGAGGGUGAAAUCACCUCCAAACGUGUGCAGAUAAACGGUAAGGAAAAAGCCUCAUCUUCGGGAACAAAGAGAUCCAGGCAGCAAUUUUCUGAGGAGGACAAAGCUCAACUUGCUACCAAUCUUGCAAUGACAUCGGAGCACAUAGCAAAGAUUGCAACUAACUAUUGCAUUGAAGGUGAGUUAGCUGUCAAGAGGCAGUUCCUGUAUCAAGAGCUGGUUAAGUUCUCUGAACUUUCUGUCUGUGAUCGAACCAGAGCUUUGAGACACUUGCACCGAGACGAUGGUGAUGCUAGCAGCUUCUUUCAGUUGCCAACCGAUGAGGAGAAAUUAGCCUUCCUGUAUGCUAUUUUGGAGUAGGUCAGUAGUGACAUGAAUCAACAACCAGUAUGUUGUCGUACUGUUGUUUCUAUAUUUUGUAUCAAGACAUGAUGCCAUUAAGAAGUAAGGCUUAACCUGUAUGGUGCCAGUAUGAGUAUUUUGUAAGGCAUCUGAUGUAUGUAGUAACUCAGUUCAGUAGUUGUUAAAGGAUGAAGUACUAUUUUAAAAACAUUAUAAAUGGAUUAGAAAUGGAUUACAGAAGGAGGGUUUAUGAUAUAGGUGUUGCCACAAUAAGGGCAAAAUUGUCAUUACAUGCAAAUUUAUAAUUUAUAUUUUCUUUAUUAUCUGUACAAUCUCCACAAAAUAUUUGUCAUCCAAACAAUGGUUUUCCACAUUUCCAUAAAAGUUAAAAUACAUAUCUUCCAUCAUUCCCCCAAUUCCACAUUUCCUAAAUUUUAUUCCCCCAUAACAAACGACCCCGAAAUACUUUUCACAUGAAGAAUUUGAGUUUUUGUAUAUCAAGCAUGAAAAUCCUUAUAAAAAAACAAUGUUCAUAUAACACAAUAUUAUUUAGCCAUCUUCAUACUGAUCCUGCAAUUGAGAACUCCAUUUGUAUCCAUUUAUAUACUCAAUUCUUCUGAUUGUCUCUACUCUUGUGUCUUCUCUGCUUUUGUCGAGGCGGCAACCAAAAUCCUACUUUUGAUCGUCUUGUAUAAUGGCCAGAUGUCGUAAUUAUGAACAGCAUAAUGGCCGCUGUAGAAUAGAUUCUCUGCUUCAUUUGGCCGUUUCAAUAUAAUGUUAAUGCCGCCGGUGCCCGGUGAUGAUACCAUUGGAUCUGAUCUGUGCGUUCUCACUGCUAGUUCAGUUAUUUUUCUUACUUCUACCUACCACUCCAUCAAUGGCUAAGAUGAGCAACACAACACCAAUGGGCAACAAACCGGUAGCUAUCGAUUGAUGACAGAGAGAAUUACUACACUUUCAAUUGAAGAAAAAAGGGGAGAAUUUAUACUGGAGCUGGAAACCCUAAUUCACUUCCGAAACUCAAUCCAAUCCCUAACCGAGCACUAUAUUAUCCGAUUCCACAAAUUCCCAACAACAAUAAAAGAACAUUCGAAAUCCUCCAAAUCUAAUCGUAGAGCCAAACCCUCGUCUCUUCAGGCACGGACGGAGCCAGCACCGCUAGGGGGAUCGGUGGAGAUCGGAGAGGAUGACAGGGAGGAAGAGAAGGAAGAAUUCGAGAUCGAAUUGGAGAACAUCAGAGGGCGAUCCUGGGCCUCGUCUUCGUCGUCAGCGUCGUCGGAGACGGGGAGGUUAAUACAGGAACAUCGUUCCAAAGAUGUGAAGAAAGCGGAUGCCAUACUCGUCCCUACCCAUUUCAGCUUCUCGUACGACCAGCACGCUCCUGCGCCUUCCAUUGAUUGCUUCCGAGAUAUUUCUGACUGCAGGAGUUAAGGGCGGAGAAACUCCGGUCGGUGGUGGAAAGAUCGGAGAUGCGGAAAAGGGAGAAAAGGGAGGGGAGAAUUAGUAGACAGUGUAAAGUGGGAUAUAAUUUGUCACUCAAUGCGCAGAUUAUAAUUUGUGACUCUGUAUCCCGGAGGAGAAAAUCCAAUUUCUUAUAAAUAAAAAUAAAAAUAACUGCGUUUUAAACAAAUAAGUAAAUGCACACUCUUAUCUUUUCAUGAUGUAUUGUAGUCACUGAUUUAGGGCUCGUUUGGUAUUCAAUAAUUUACCAUUCGAUGCAUUUUUAUAUUUUGUAGUUUGAACAGUUAGCUAUUCGUUGAUAUUGGAUAUUGCAUAGUUACGGUAUUCAAUAUUUACUUAAAAACAGUGAUAAUAAAAAGUUAGUUUCCUAACAUUUUUAUUUUGGAUUCUCAAUUUGGAUUCAUGGUUGGAGUUCAGAUCAUGUUGUGAACUUUUCUACAUGUGUUGGAAGCUUCUCCUUGACAUAAUGGAAUCUUCAAAAUAGUGGUAGGGAUUUACAUAUACAGUUGUCUUUAGCUAUGCCUAAAGUAUUGUUGAAUAAUUAGCCUUAUAAGAGGAUGUUGAUUAAUGCUUAUUUGCAUGAUUAGUGUAAGCUUCUAGAGAGAGUUAUGAUUUACGGUUGACAGCAGAACAUAUAGCCUACUAAAGAUUAGAAUAAGUUGUGCCGGUAGUCCAUCAUGACUGGUACGGUUUUAGGAUGAUAACAUAUUGAAAUAGGGUUUAUCAUGUGGAUACCCUUAUUACUUGGUCCCUCUUGGACAUCUUUAUAAAUGUAUUUUGUGAACCUCCUUAUUAGAUAGGGGUUGUUGGCAUUAAGAUUGAUCGAAGAAAUGACUAAGAGGUUAUCCUCAAACAACUAGCUACCCUACUUUUGACACUGGUUUUGGCCAGUCAUAUAUUAUGAGUUGUACUGGUUGAAUAUUGGUAUUAUAUAUCUUAUAAUUUGAUUAAUUUUUGCAUUGCGUUAGAGAUAUUUAGUGCUUAAAACUGACCCCUUGUUCAUAUUUUUUAUAUCCAAAUGCGGGAACAUCCGAGAAGAAUGCUGUCAAAUAAGACUGCAAAGGCUAGUGUGGCCAGGAGUGAAAAGGAGAGGUCGAAUCGUGUUAGGUACUCGACUGGACAAAGACUGGUUUUGAAGACUCAUUUCUUGUUUUUAAGACUUUGUUGUUCUUUACUAAGGUUUUUGUUGAGACCUUUGAGUUAUUGUUGAAUACUGGAUUUGGAUGAGUUUAUUUUAAUUUUUUAUUUUAGUCGAUUGUUAGAUUCAAUUUUUUUUCAUGAUGAGUUUUGUGAUGUUUUAGCAUUUAUUGUCGUUAGAGAAUCAUAUCAUACCUAUUAGAUUUGAGAUGUUAAAAGAAGUAAAUCGGAAAGCACAAAAGUAAAAAAUGGGCAAUAAAAAAUAAUGACACAUAUUGUAUUAAUAAAACGGAUUGUGUUAGUUUUUUUAAUUAGUGAUAUAUUAAUCCCUUUUAUCGAAAUACAAAUGUUGCAAAAUAGAAAAACAAAUUACAUAUAUCAAUUAUAAAUCAUAAUUGUUAUGAAUAUUUUAUGUUAAUGCAGUUUAAUGCACAUGAUGUAAUUAUCAUUGUGUAACUCCUUUAAAAAAUUAGGAAGUUAAUAAGUUUAUGCAGCUAAUGAAUUUCCUGACCCCUCCUGGCUCCUAGUCCUAGAACAACACAAAAACUACAUUAGUUCGGUUGUUUCUUCACCUAUCUUUUUCCUUUAUAGGUUUCACCAUUGGAUGGAUGUUUGCUGAUCAAAAGUCCAAUUAAUUUACUUGUCUCCAUGAUCAGUUCGAAAGCAACGACGCUCCUCUUUCCCUGGAUAUUCACAACAUACCCAGAAAACAAAGGUCAAGAAUCAAAAGUACGAAUACCAGACAAAAAAACACAUUGAUAUUAGCAACACUGGGGGAAGUCCUCGUCCCCUCCAAAUUCCUGCCUGGUUGUUCCCUCACUAAAAUAUCCGAUCCCCACCGUUGCCCUUGCCGCAAUUCCUUCGCCGUUUCUCUCUCCACACUCACCAGCCGGAGGCUGCUGCUGCUGCCGCCGUCACUACCGCUACAACCGCCUCGCCGCCGCCCCCAACUCAUCACCAGAAAUUUCCCAUCACAUACUUCCUUCGCCCCCACUACACGCAGAUGAUCCUGCCGUGCCAGCAUCACCGGCGGAGAGGCUACAGCUACCAGCAUCGACCUCAUCAGCUCCCCUGUACCGUUGUCAAUUCCGAAGAUAAAAACGUCUCCCGUAUCAAACAAACAAAAGAAACUCCCCUCCCUAUACCCGAUCCCCUCGCAAACUCGGCGACGAUAUUGACCCCCCUCCUCCUUGCCUCCCCUGUAACUGUAGUUGUCCCACCGCAGCCGGCCGCACGUGAACGCGCUGAAACUGGCGUGACCACGCACGAGGAAGAUUGUCCAUUCCGGAUCUGUCGGUGGGGCCGAGAAGGCGGCUUUGAGAGGCGGUUGCGAAACGGAAUGAGGAAGAAGAGGAAGGCGGACGAAACUUGUAGGCCAACGGAAAGUAGGAUUGAAAACGCACCAAAUUCCACCACUGUCUGUUGAUGACAGAAGCCACCAGGCGCUCCCUGGCCAGGUGUAUUUCACAUAGGAGCGGCUCAAUUCCUUGCGAGUCUCGCUGGGGAUUUCCGCGUCGUCCAGGACGUCAAGCAACGACAUCAAUGAAUGCUUCAGGGGAGGGGGGCUAGAUACAGGGGAAAUAUGAUGGCGCCAGUUUUUGCAAACGGAACUGAACUCCAUGCGGCCGGCUGCGGGAGGAGGAGGGAGCCUGUAGUAGAUGGAGUUCAAGAGAUCUGGACAGAGAUCACUCCACGGACGCAUCGGCAUCAUGAAGCUAGCUAGCUUGGUUUCAGAAAAAAGAUGGUUCGCAGGGUUGAGCUCGGAUGGCUUCACUUUAAUCAACAGACUUUUUUCUGGUGGUAUGCUAUAUUAUGACUAAUUGACAAAAAAUGGAAAGGUAGAUCAAGAUCUGAUUAAUUUCAUUUGUUUUCUGUUCAUCCAAAUUAGAUGAUGGUUUGUGAUGAUUAAUUAUACAGAGAGGUUUUGGGCGGCAGGUUGCUCGCAAUUGUUUUUAGUUUAUGCCUCUUUCAGUUUUGGUUGUUUUCCUUUCUUUUAUAAAUAGUGACCGACCCCUCAAUCAUAUGACCCUAAAUGACUUUUAACGAUGGUUAAUUAAAAUUUUAUCGUCACAUCAUCAAUUUUAAUAAUUAAUUUAUUUAAUANNNNNNNNNNNNNNNNNNNNNNNNNNNNNNNNNNNNNNNNNNNNNNNNNNNNNNNNNNNNNNNNNNNNNNNNNNNNNNNNNNNNNNNNNNNNNNNNNNNNNNNNNNNNNNNNNNNNNNNNNNNNNNNNNNNNNNNNNNNNNNNNNNNNNNNNNNNNNNNNNNNNNNNNNNNNNNNNNNNNNNNNNNNNNNNNNNNNNNNNNNNNNNNNNNNNNNNNAAAAUUGUUAAAAUUUUGAAAUAAAAAUGCUCUAAGAAUUUCAAGUAGAAUUGAGUUCCCCAAUUUACUCAAAUAAGAAUUUUGUUAUCCUUUGAUUUAAUAUUUAUUUGACAAUUAUUGUUAACUAAUUAUUUUUGUCGGAUUAGAUCGAGACUCCUGGUCAAUACAAAAUAAAAAACAUAAAAUAAACAUUACAUGUUUUGUAGGGUGCGAUGAAUUCAAAAGCAAAACUUCUAAAUCACCAGACACAUAACUCUAAUACCAAAAUAAGCUACUUUUAACCACAACUCAACUUUUUUCUACUAAUUUAACUCAAUUUUUAUUUAAAAUUCCGUUUACCAAUCAUAAAUCACAUUAAUUUCUCAAAUAAAUUCUUAGAAUUUUAUAUCACUCUCAAGUACAUAUCAUCUAAGACAACAAAUCUGUAGCUUUCUAUCCACUUUUUUCUUCUUCCAUUUGCAAAUUUCAACAUCUACUAUGUAAAUGUCGUCGCAUGUCGUCCCUGUCGUCCUGUCUCCAUAUGUUCCUCAUCAGGACUAUUGGAGAAGAUACUUAUUAUUAUUGUUUGUAACAUAUCCAUGAUUGGCUCUACUGCAUGCUUUCAUCUCCCUAAUCAUGACAUUUAAAUCUGUAUAUAAUAUUGUACAACACUAAUGAUAAUUUGGACCUUGAAAUUUACUUAUACAUCUAAUUAACUCUAUGUCUUUAUCUCGUAUAUUUGAAUAUCGAUACCUUCAAAUAGAAAAUACCACUCUAAAUUAGUCAAGUAGUCACAUGAACGGCCACGUGUACAUACAUGUCUGGAGACCCAAUUUCAAUGGUGAAAGUGGGUUUUCUCAUAGAUUUUUCAAAACUCAUGAAAGUCUCAAAAACUGCUCUGCCGCAGUUAUUUUUACGCAUGGCUCUUUCCUUCUUGAUGAAGAUCUUCGCUUUCCGUCUCAGGCGAGGACAACCAUUGCACACUCUAGCGGUGAUGGCGUUCUGCAACAGUGAUAGAGCGGUGACACCACGACGACGGAUCCACGAAAACUUACGCGACUGGGAUACCAAUUUGUUCAACCGCCGUAGGAUAUGGCAUCAGCUUCUUCUGGCUUUAUUCCUUCUUCCCAUUUCUAUUUAUUCCUUUAUGGUAAUCCAUUCCUUACCUCUCUCAUUGUUUUGCAUGUUCAACUUCAAAGAAAAGUGAAGGGGAUGGCAGAGGCAUGCGGGGAGUUGCUCCUUCAAGCGGCUUCAUGCAAGAUGCUGCAUGUCAUGAAGUAUUCGUUGGAUUUGUCGAGACUCGAAGUGUUCAGUGAGCAAUCGCAAUUUCCAACCAUUCGAGGGAUCGUCUCGUUAGAACAUUUCAGAUUUCAUUUGCAACACUUGAGCAAGAGUAGGAACAGAGGCAUCAACCUGCAUAAUAGUUAAUGAUUUGGCUUCCGUUGGCAAAUUUAAUCACAAUCGUUCAUCCCCGGUACAUAUGAUUCUUCUCCGCUCCUUCCUCUUCAUAUUCUCUCUUUUGUUCCCCGCUACCUUUUGCUUCUAUUGGUUUAUGAUCAAAGUAUUCGCUUUUUCUGACUUUUCAAGUUUUUUAUUUGUCGUUUUUCGACCAUUUUGUUCGAUUUUCAUAUGCGUUUGUGGAUCUUGCAUCCUUUCCUUUUAUAAUAUUAUAAGUGUGAUGAUUGUGAUUAGAUUGGUAAUGAAGAAAUUGAGUUGGUCGUUUCGCACAUUUAGGAUUGUAUAAUCUCUUUGUCAUUUGGUGAUUAUGCAUGUUGUCCUUCUUUAUUGGGGUUCGCUUUUAGACGGUUUGUCGUUUAGAUAAUGGAGUCGCUUAUUGAAUGGCACGUUUGAUUCUUAAAUAUUUUGUAAAAGUGUUAUCGAUAAUAUUCACUCAUUUGAGUAGAUUUAAAAUUGUAUGGAUUUGCUAUCUCUUGUUCUCCGCAAAGCGUUAUCUAAAGAAAAGAAAAAGUGGGUUUUCUCAUUUCUGUAUGAGUUCAUCCAAUCCAAUGGCGGAAUUGGGGUCGGGCGAACCCAGAGCGCCGAAUUCCUAUGUAAAAUUUAUGUAUUUAUGAGUUUCGCCCAUCGUGUUUCGAGAUUUUUCCCGGUAUAUAUUUAAAUUAUUUGCCCACUGUUGAACCAUUAUUUAAACUCACUCAUUAGAUGAAACUACUUUAACUUGAGCCAAAACUCUUUAAUAGAUAACAACGUAUCAAAUUUAAACUUAUAAUCAAAUCUCUUAGUUAGUAAAAGUCAUAAGUUUAAUUCAAACUAAUCAAAUUUAGCUGAAAUUUUUGUUGCCGGUGGCACAUUCAAAUUUGGUUCAACUAAAAAGUAUAAUAAAUGUCUUUCUCAUAUAUUAUUGUAGAUGUGUAUUAGGUCAAAGUAAUGGAUUCGCCAAUUAAUUACUCAAUAUACAAAUAUUCAAUCAAAAAAUUAAUUUAGCGCAUAUUUCUAUUGUGAUUACACCCUUAAUUUUACUAUUAUUAAUAAAAAAUAUUAUCAUAAUUGACUUUUAAAUUUAAAAUUCGCCUAUAAUCUCCAAUCAUCCGGAAAUUAAAAUUUAAUCCACAGUCAAGUCCCAAAUAGAAAUGUAAAACCAUUGGUAAAGAGUCUGCCACGUAGGAUACGGGCUGCAGCGGGGAACCUACAUAGUGGCGGAUCGUCAAAAGCAUAUACGAAAUCCGAGUGGAUAACAAAACAACUGAUGACUGGACAACGAACCAUAGUCCAUCACUCGUCCCUGACAGAUAAUCACACCCCCAAGAAUCCAGACAAACCUUUCUCUACCCAAAUUCCCAAAAAUGGCGACUCUUUCUUUUUCUCUUCCACUCUCCAGAACCACCCCGGGCUCCUCGUCGUCAAAGCGACAUCCAUUUCAGCAGCAUCACUACCCUCGCACCAAAAUUACUUGUUCUUUCUCUGGUAACCACCCUAAUCCAUAUUUGGAAUGUGGGAUUUUGCUUCUGUGAAAACCAAAUUCAAAGAUUUUUCUCUGCAGACAACGGAGCUGGAUCGGAAUUGGGCGGACUCCCAAGGAUUAUUGGUUGGAAAGAAUUGAACUGUGUGGCCUGCGGAGUUCUUGCUGCUCUCGCUGUCACUGCUUCUCCAGUAAUUGCUGGAGCUCAGGUUGCUCUCCAAUUCCCCACUUACAAAAAACAAAUUGUCCAUUUCUUUAUCUUUCUCCCUCAUUCAUCAGUUUGAACCCUAUGUUUGUAUAUUGCAUAGAAACUUUUGAUCUGGGUCGAAAAUAUUGUCUUCGAAAUCCAAAAAGCUCUUGUUGAAUUUGUGGAAAGGGCACAGCUGCUACAUUUCUUGCUUGUAGGAUUGUCAAGUUGGCUGCUUCACCUUCCCAAUGAAGGGCAGAGAAACAGAUGUUAAUGUUUCCUUAGAUUUUAAUGAGAAUUGUUGUUCUGUGCCUUGUGAGUUAUUUUUCACAUUCUUUAUGACCUUUCCAGUAAUGCAUCACGACAAUGUGCAACUCACUCUUUAUGCUGCAGAGGCUGCCGCCACUGUCGACAGAGCCCGACAGGUGCGAGAAGGCAUACGUUGGAAACACGAUCGGUCAAGCCAACGGCGUAUAUGACAAGCCAAUCGAUCUUCGAUUCUGCGAUUUCAGAAAUGACAAAUCGAAUCUGAAGGGGAAGUCACUUGCUGCUGCACUAAUGUCGGAUGCUAAGUUUGAUGGUGCUGACAUGACAGAAGUCGUCAUGUCCAAGGCUUACGCGGUUGGAGCUAGCUUCGUAGGUAAGAAAAACAUUCUCCACCUAAAUCUUGAAACAGUUCCAGUUAGCAUUUUGUCUAAAGACAGAUCCGGCUUUCUCCAAUAUGAAUGAUUGACACAUUAGCCCGAAUGAUGUGAUUCCAAUAUACAUAUUUCGACACAUUAGCCUGAAUGAUGCAUACAACAUUUGACUGAUGUCUCCAUUUCAUUUAAGAAUGUUUUUUUUGGGAAAUUGUAUCAGAUGCCCUGUAACUAGUUAUAAUUGUCGAGGUUCUGCCACCUUUCAUAACUAGCUAUAAGCACAUAUAACUAGUUAUAGACUGUAACUAGUUACAUGUAGGUAUCCGUUACAAAUUAUAGUUGUUUGUAACUAGUUACACGCCUUAAUACCUUGUUAUAAUCUCCGACGAGGGUUCGACCACCUUCUAUUACUAGUUAUAAUUGUUUGUAGCUAGUUACAGUUACACGACUUAAUAGCUUGUUAUAAUCUUUUACGAGGGUCUAACCACCUACCAUUACUAGUUAUAAUUGUCAGUAACUAGUUAUAAUCACCUGUGAGACUCCGUUAAGGGUCCUACCACCUUCCAUAACUAGUUAUAAUCGUUUGUAACUAGUAUCAGAUUCUAUGUGGAGUGUGUGCGCGUGUGUGCUCUUGCCAAGUGAUUAUCUUGAUGGACUUGCAUGAAAAGGAAGAGGUUUGACAUUAUGUGGUGUGGUGCUUGUAAUUGUGCAGGUGUGGACUUCUCAAACGCAGUUUUGGACCGUGUAAACUUUGGGAAGGCCAACCUUAAAGGAGCUGUGUUCAGGAACACUGUGCUGUCAGGGUCGACAUUUGAGGAAGCUGAAAUGGGAGAUGUGGUGUUUGAGGACACCAUCAUAGGCUACAUCGACUUGCAGAAACUGUGUAGAAACACGAGUAUCAGUGAUGAUGGAAGGGCGGAACUGGGAUGUAGAUGAUGAUGGAGGCUACAUCGACUUGCAGAAACUGUGUAUAGAGACACUGCUUUAUAGUCAUGUAAUGUUGAGCGACUGACAUCAUUUCUUUUCCCGAGGCACAAGCAGUAUACUAAAUAAAUAUUAUAUGAAAUGAAAGAUUGAUUCAUUUGCAGCAGAUCAGAUCAGCACAUAGCUCUUUCUCAUCUUUUCCUCCCAACUUCAAAUGUUUGAAACAUUGUGGAAUAGAUAUGACCUGCGGUUGACAAUUGAAUAGGUUGGUUUCAUUGACCAUGAAAGGCGCAUCUGGUGGAAUGGUAUCAUAGUACCCUCCAACUGUUAAACUAUAAAAGUUUGACAUUGAUACAACUGUUAAAAGAAGAUAAUGGUGGCAUGAGAGCUCAAGACUCCACUCAAAUUCAAUUUUACUGGCAGGUCAGAGUUUCAGUAAAAUCGUUAACUCGUGCAUACUUGAUUUAUUUUGCCAUUACAGAGCCGAUUUGAGAGUACGUACCUGCAUAUUUUUAGUAUGUAAACGGUGGUUGGUAGGAUUGCCAUUCCAUCUAAACCAUACAGUUCCUCUUAUUCACCAAAAAAAAUACAAAUAAAAAAGGAAAAUAAGGAGAUGAACAGUGACUAGUUUGGAAGAUCCUCCGCCACACCAUCCAAUCAAACCAUGCUUCUUCUAUCCCUUACCUACCAUGCACUUUGUAGUAGGUUUCCAUCAGAGCAGCCCAUGAUUCAUAUGGUUCAAUUCAUUAUAUAUUUUUGUAUAAAAUUUAAAAUAUAUUCGAUUGUAUAAAAAUUAUGUAAUAGUUUAGCUCAAACUAUAGAACAAAAGUUUGGUAAUACUGGAGCUCUAAAUUCAGAAAUGAGAUGAACUAUGGAAUGGAAGAAAUUCCCAUUAGUUCAGCCACUGCACAAGAUUACUGACCGGCUGAUGCACAACCAAUGGACCACGUCUACUCUCCUGAUCAACACUUUUGUUUGUGUACUACUUGUCCAUUACUAGACUUGUCAAGUCUUGACGUUAUCCAUUUUUCAACCGUUGCAAUCGUCAUAUACUAAUAAUCCAAUAUGUUAUAUUAGACACGAUCAGUCGAUAUCCGAUCCAACCAGUCCGACAGAACCUUAGCAGUAGGGUAUUGUAAACCAUGCUGGGUAGUUAUCAAUUUUAAAGGGAUGUAAUUUCUUUUACUCAAGGAGGAGAUGUGGAUGGAGGUUCACCACAUUCGAUUGUUGAAUUACCAUCGUAUCCUUCCUCUACCUACCAACUUCCAAGUGUAUAUAAAGAGUAUAAUAGGUUAGGAAGAAACAAAGUAGCUAAACAAAUAUGAAGAGGAAGAAAGUUGUUAGUAGAUGAAUCACCUCUUGUGGUAAACGUUUCUUGCUCAAAUGAGUGUUCCAAAACCAGCAAGCGAUGGAGCAGUUCUGGGUUCAAAUACUCCAUCUGUUGUUUGCAUCUGAGAUGCUCAUUUGGGCAAGCAGUGUUUCACAAAGAGGUGUCUGUUGAUUUCAUGUGUGGGUUCGUUUGUGGAUCUAAGGUAUCUUAUUCUAGCCCUUCAUGAUAUAUUCAUUCGCUUCUCUCAAAAGAAUUGGAAUUUCGACGCAAUUGAAUUCCUUGUGUUUCCUGUUAUGUGGUUGGUUAUGGGAUUGAAAUUGAAAAUUAUAAUAGUGAAAGAUGAUAGUGAAAGAUUACUUUACCUAACCCAUAAAUUUAUGCCAAAUAUGGGGCGGAUACCCCUUAUUCAUUGUCUGUGAAUAAUGUCUACGGGUUUUAUCCGUUAUCGAUCCAUUAAGCUUGAUGGGUAAAAAAUUAUUACCAAGUCCAUAUUGGUACGGUUUUUCGGGUAAACCCAUGGUUGUCGGGUAUAUCCAAUGUGAAGUAAAAACUGUGAAAUUUCAUUACUCGGAAUUCAGAAACUGAAAUGUAAAUAGUACCCAACACAUAUGCAUCCAGAGCUAAAAACAUUUACCCAGAUUUCAGAACUCUGGGAAAUGAACUCGGAAAGAAAAGCAUAUACUGAAGUCUGAAACCCUAAAAAUUGUUUAUAUAUCAUAGACAAAACGACGUCGUUUUGUUAUCGGAUCGGUGAUGGGUCGGAUACCAUGACCGCCGGUCGCCCGGAUUUGGCGGGUCACGAGUGUGCCCGAAACCGACAAAAACCCACGGUUGAUGGGCACAAAUCGGCUCAAUUCGGACGGGUUCCAACGAAUAUCCGAAACCCACGGGCCUGCUGCCAAGCCUAAUCUUAUGUUUAAUCGUUUGAGAUUUCCCGUAAUUGUUUCCCAUAAAAAUUUCCAAAUUUUGUUCUAUGUCCCAAUUCCUAAAUCUAUACAAAGUCCUAACCAGAAAACUGUAGUGCAUAAGGGUUUACAAGAAGUGACAAGAUGAAGAAGAAGAAGAAGAAGAAGCAAAUGAAAAAGAUGGAAUUUAUUUCAGAGUUCAUCGUGAUAAUCAUCAUCAUUCUCAUAAACACUAUCAUAAAUUGUUGUGUAGAAUACAGAUUCAUGAUUUUGCAUCUCCUCCAAUAUCAAAUAUCCAUCUCCAUCAUCAUCAGCCUGCACCCACAUUGAGCCGGAUAUUAUAAUCAAUAGACUAAUUAAUCCUUAAAACUCUUUUAACUCGAGUAGACCCAUAUUCUCAUAUAGCUCACGAUCGGGUCAUGAAUCAAAAUCAUAAUCAAUGCGGCUCAAUUUAAACUGAGACGAAUCACGAGCUACCUAGACUAGAUCGAACCUACUCACAAACCAUAAUUGACCAAAGCUGGCUCACACUACAAGAAAACUGAAAGAAUAAUCACAAAUUUUUAGUCACGGAAGUCUGAACCGUGACUAUUUAGUUACGGAUUUUGACGGAUCCGUCACUAAUUAGUUACGGAACUUUGCUUUUGUGACAAAUUGAUCAUGAAUCCAUCCAAUCCGUGACUAGUUUUUUCAUGUAAACAUAUUCCUACGACAAAUUUUGCCACAGUUACAGGCAACCGCGACGAAAUUAGUCACAAAACUCGUCUGUGUGACAAAACUGGUCACGAAUUGGACCGAACCGUUACCAGUUUGUCACAAAAACAAAAUUCCGUGACUAACUAAGAUGCUUCAGAAUUUUUUAUAUAGUUCGUUAAAAAUUCCAUACAUACCUAAAUACAGAUGAUGUUGGCGUCAUCUUCAAUUAAGGUAAUUUGGGAGAAAUUUUCAUUUCUCAUAUUAGAUGAUCAUAUCGUACUCUAAUCUCAUACUUAAAGAUAAAAAAAAAUUAUGUUUAUUAAUUAUACGAAUCAAUAAUUUUUUGCCAAAUAUCAAAAUACUGGAUGACCGAUAUAACUAGGAUAUCAAAGUAUUUUCCAUAUAAUUAAGGUUUGUUUAUUUUGUUUACCUCUCGAAUCAAAUAAUGGGCGUAGAAUUUGGCGUAAGUGAGCUCUCCAGGUUUCAGGUACGGAAGUAUGGGCAGCAAUUCCUCCACAGCCAGCACCCUAUUAAUAUAGCAAAAUUAAUUAAGUCAUUUACGAAAUAAGUAAUAAAUUACUGUAAAAAUUAGGAAAAAUAUUAAUUACUUGUCAUGGUCGAUAUCAAGUUGUGCGAACUUGUCUUGAGCAGUAGGGACCGUCAUCUUUUCAAAUUCAACGUAAACUUUGUACAAGCCGUAAACAUAUUUUGAAAACUCUGCCAAAUUCAGCCCUGAAUCCCCAUCUUCAUCCAUUCUCCUGUCCGCACAGACCCCAUAGCGUAUUAGUUUCAAAUCGCCUCGGUCGGUAUCGUAAUUCUUACGAGAAAUUGUUAACUUCCGGUACUCUUCCUAUAGGCGAAUCGAGAUUUUGAUGUGAUUCGAUUUGAUCUCGAUCACGUGACGUAUUUAAUUGUGUAUUAUAUGACGAGUACCGGAAUGUUAUAUAAAAUAACAGCACUAUUGGAAGUAUAAAAACAUUACUUAAUAUUUGCCUUGAGCAACCAUAUCUGGAUAUCCAUGUUCUGGCUGUCCUCUGGGUGCAAGAAGCUGCAGGCACAUAGAUUUUAAGAAAAAUGAAUUGUUACACCAAAAUAAAAUAUAUAUAAAAAGAAGCUACUAAUAAUUGAAAUUAUGAAAAAAAUAGUGAAUAAUUAAUUAUAUUUUACUUGUUAAAUUCGUAGAAGUCCAGUCUUCCAUUGCCAUUGACAUCUGCGAUUUUGAAUAACUCCAUCCACCAUCCAGCUUGACCAUGUCCCAUUUCAUUUUUCGCUACAUCAAAAUAUUGAAUGGUGCAUGUUAUUAAGCUAGUUCAGUAACGACGAAUGCAACUUGACCGAAUUUCUGGCUACGCCACCAUUACGUAAUGUAAGUACCUAUGUCGGAGGUGGAAAAUUGCGGGAGGAACUCAAGGAAGCUAACGGCGCCGUCUUGAUCCUUAUCAUGAAUCAACAGCUCCUUCUGCGUCCGAUAAGCCAACCGGUCAACCGCCUGACCCAUAUUCCAAUCCUCCAUCUCCUGAAAGCUUAUCUUACCGUCCGCCGGCGUCUUGUCCACAGCCGGGAACAGCACCUCCAGCCUCUUUGUCAUGUUGAACUUCCCUUCCUCCCCAAAAUACACCACCGAGGACUCCUGUCCAACCUCCGCCCCCUUCUCCUGCUGCAUUUUCUCGACCAACGGAUCGAAAUUUGGUGUUUCGGACAAAAUGUACCCGAGGCGGCGGUAGCGACGGUGGGCGUCGACGUCGUCGGCGGCGAAGAAGGUAACGAGAAGAAGAAAGGCGCCAGUAAUAAGGAGGGCGUAGAAUAUAACUGCUAACGCCCUUGCCAUUUUCUAGCACCUGGGUGAUCGGAGAACAGGGAUCAGCUGCACCCCAAUACCAGAUAGCAGAUGAAUAAAAAAGGGGUUGAAAAAUGAUAAAUAUGAUCGCCAUUGUUUUUCUGGUGAUAUGUUCUUUCAUUCUGUGCGAGGAAAGGGAAAAGAUGGGUUAUUUAGGUAUUCACGGUUAGAAAUCAAGGCGCCAUAAACAGCCAGCCUAAUUGAGGUUAAGAGAUAGCCGAAAUGCAAGAGAUUCCAUCAUACCAACAAACAAAAAAGCUCGUAUUAAUUUCUAUAUUUGGCUUCUGAGCAAGAGGGUUUUUCCAGUUUCCACAUCAAACAGUAGCUGUUCAUAGCCAAAAUCAACAGGAAACGGAAUAUUGAUCCAUUCCAUCGUGCCAAUAUCGCUGUCUAGAUCCCAAAUAAAGCUUCAGUGGCUAUCUAUAUAUGCAUCAUAAGGUAAGAAACUAAGUACCAAAGGCUGGCUCUACUCAUUCUGUGGCUACAGCUUUCUGGAGACAGGACCAGUUCGACUCGCAUAGUUCCCUAGCAGACAUUCCGUCGUUAUCCUUUUCGUCUAUGUUGGCGUUUUGCUUCACUAGGACCUCAGCAAUACCUUCUCUAUCGCAGACCACAGCAUAAUGCAAAGCUGUUUGCCCUUCAUUGUCCUUUAACAUUACAAAAAUGAAACAAAAUCAGCACCCACCAGAAUGGAACUCUUUAUGUUUGAAAUCACUGUAUAGGCUAUGAACAGGCCUCUGUCUUUCAUUAAAUAGCUAAAUCCAAAACCAUGAGAUGAAUUCUCAUAAGGUUGAAUCACUUUCGUUGUCAGAGCUAUGAUUGAAAUGUAGGAAGUACAUAAAAUGACAUUUGAUUUACCUUCGCAUUUAUAUCAGCACUUCGUUCAACAAGCAGUUCCACAAUGUUAAGGUGACCGCGAUCCACGGCCCAGUGCAGAGGGGUCCGGCCUUCACUAUCUGUAUUCAUCACACCUUUAAUAACUAAGGUUCCCCAAACAACAAGCUUACUUGUAUGACAUAAUGUUUAGUCAUCAAUUCGAAAGUACAAUCAACUUGGUUAUUUAGUAGGUGGCUAAAUAUCCUAAACAAUAGAUGGCCAUGGUAACAUGAUAGAAAAUAUUACAUAUCGUCUAAUCAUGUCAGAGGGGAAGAAGAAAGCAGAGGUGCAGAAAUGAACCUUUUAAGUUGACAGAAACAUCCUGAUUGAUGGAUUUCAGCAAAUUAUCUGCAUCCCCCUCUCUUGCAAAUGCAUGAACAGCAUCCAUUUUCCUGAGCAGAGAGAAGAGAAAGUACAAACUUCUCAAUUGCUCGAAGUAAUAAGAUGUGCUUCAGCAGUUAAGCAUCUCUCGACAACCAUACAAAAUCAUGCCAUAUCUAGCAGCUUGUUCUAUUCGCUUAGUGUGUUUUGUUUCAAGCCUAUGGUAACAAUACAUGAAAUGUAUAUGAUAAAAUCAAGAGUGUACUACAACGUUAUCAUGUCACAUAACCAGUGCCCUGCAAUCUUCAAAACAAAAUGAUUUCCACACUCAAUCAAAGAAUCUGACUUCCAUAUUUAUCAAAUAGAUAAACUGUGCUGGACAAAAUUACUUUAAUAAAGCUCAGAAAAGAGAACAAACGGCAUAUAAAAUGCCAUGGAACUAUGGACUAAGCGAUUGACGUAUGCUGCUGAUCAUAAUAAAUAAGCACAGCACAAAUGUCCUAGAAGACUGUUACAGAGGUGAUUGUAAAAUGCCACAAACAAUUAGAAGUUCCAACUGAACCUUAACCUUCAACGCAUAAAGAAUUCAGAAAACCUACAGCUCAUUCCCAGAUUCUUCCUCAUAAACAAAGGUGCUGAAAACCGGUCCCAUUGGACCUUGGGAAUCAUUGGUUCGUACAUCACGCCCUCCAAUUCUGGGUUUCUGGCCAUCCAUGUCAUCAAGAGAGGGACAAACAGAGGUCAGUUAUUUGCAUCCAAAUGAAAAAAGACAACAAUACCACAGAAAACAGAGGCCUUACCGCAGCGGAACCAGCAUCCCAAGCAGGGUAAAUCUCUGAAACUAGGUCAAUGUAUCUUUCCAUUGCCUCUUCUGGUGACAUAGUACCCAAUUUCUGCCACGCUGUCCUGUGAUGAAUUGCCAGCAUGAUAUUAGUCUAACAGCAACAAGCCAGUGCAUCUUAAUUAAGCAUAGAAGUACAACAACGUCAGCAAUUAAUGCCACUUGAUCACAACUCUUAGCAUACAUAUUUCCUCCUAACAGGAACAUUCAACCUCUAUAAUCAGUUUUUUUCAAUCGAAGCACCAAGUAAACCCAGUAGCAUUGACCAUCUUCGUUGUGAGAUUACUCAAACUUAACUUGGUUGAUUGAUAUUAAACGGACACCCAAAUCAAAGGGUAAAAUAUGAGUCAAAAGAUGAGAUACCACUUGGCACGUGCAGUCAUUUUGAGAGCAGAAGGAGCGGGAACUGUGCAAGGUCCUUCAGUGGCAAUCUUAUACAAGCCAUAAAGCUGCAGUUGCACAUCCGUCGACACCUUCUGAGAAAGCCGGUCAGCAGCCGCCGCCGCAACAAAUGCCGAGGCAGCGCUGAAGAUCUCAUCCAACUCGGUGCUCUCUACACCUUCCCAGUCGUCGUCUUCCUCCUCCUCGUCAUCAUCAUCGGAAUCACCGUGACCAGCGGUAUCGUUCCUGACACUGCCCAGCUCAGCAGCGAUGGAAUCUCCCUCGGGGAAAUCUCCAGAGCUUUCGUCCCCGGAUUUCAGGGGUUGGUAGGAAGCUGGAGAGGGGUUGCGUGUAAUGGUAAGGUUGUCGUCUUUGAAGGCUACGACGAUUGAUAUGAGCUUAGCGAGGAGGUAAGAGAAGAUGAGGCCGAGGAUUAUGGACUGAAGCAAUUGCUGCCACUCUAUCAUGGCGACAGCGUAUGGUAAAGAAAAAGUAAGAAGGAAGAGAAGAGCCCCUAACCCUAAUCCUAAUCGAUUAGCUUCAAAGGAGGAGGGGGGUUCAUGGAAAGAGCAAAACCCUAGAAACCCCUAGGCAGUGGGAAGAGACGGAGAGAACAAGAGGGAGGAACAGUUGCAGGUCUGCUCUGAAGUCUGAUGGAUCGCAGGAUAUAUUCUUCUUUCUUCCUUUUUAGAUUUUGAUUUCGAUGUGUUUCUAAUCUUAAAUGAUUUUUCGGUUGCAGUAAAACCGAUGACGUGGCUGUGAUUAGGAUUAGGAGAACGAAUUUGUGGGUAUCCAAACCAAUCCUUGCCGGUCAACUGGGCCUUGUCCUCCCUCUGUAAUAAUUGGGCCCAUUCUCUUUGUUGUAGACGACUAGGGUUCGAUAAUGGAGCCCUUGCUGUUGAUUGCCCCUUUCCCAACCGGUCACCGGCGGUGUUGAACUCCUCCAGGAGAUCUCCGGAGAAAUUGACUUCACUGUGGAACCUCAUCAGCCCUUUUCCACUAUCUCCUUGUGCCGCCGUUCGUCCCCUUCCAUCUUACUCCCUUAUUCAGAUGGCUUAUCUUCAGCAUGGCAGAAGUGGCUUGCGGCAAAUUCUUAGAGGAGCCAAUGGUAGGAUCUCCGAUUCCGCGUUACCUACGUCGAUUUAUGCCUGUCAGGGUAUUCGGUUUAGGAAGCUGGAGGUUAUUCUAACAUCGGUGCGUUUCUUUCAUUCUGUAGACUUGACUUAUGAAUCGUCAUUCAUUGUUUGGAUUUGAUUGUGGAAUCAUUUGCUGAUACGGAGUCUGAAUCUUCUUUCAGAACAUAGAGAAGCUUGGUAAAGCAGGUGAAACAGUGAAGGUUGCUCCUGGAUAUUUUCGCAACCACUUGAUGCCUAAAUUGCUGGCUGUACCUAAUCUUGACAAGUUUGCUCAUCUGAUCAGAGAGCAGCGCAAGGUGCAAAUUUGUUUCUCUCGGUCAUAGUUCUGUAAUCGACUCUUAUUUUAUGCAAUGCUCUCUAGAUGCUAGUUUUUGUUGAACUUGGCUGAUUGAAUCUUGUUAAUGAAGUGGUGAUUGGGUCCAUGGUUCAUGCUUUGAUGAUAAACACAUGUUUGUUUUUCGAUUUCCCUACUGUACUUCCAGUUGUACCAGCAAGAGGAGGAAGAAGAGGUUAAGAAGGUGGUUGAUGAUACAAAAGAAGAUCGAAUGAAAGAAUUCGAAACAGCUGCAAAGCGCUUGGAUAAAUCCCGUGUGGUAUGUUCUGUUAUCUUUUGACAUUGCUCUUGUCCUGGAAGUGUGCUAUUUGUUUGUUACAGUAUUCUCCAAUAUUGCAGACAUUUAGGGUGGGAAUCGAUGCUCAGAAGUUCAAAGCUCGUGCCUCAAAGGAUGAACCGAUAGUAAUUCAGGCACCAGUGACGAAGGAUGAUAUUGUAAAAGAGGUAUCUUUAUGAAACAGUUUGCGCCGGUUUGAUCAUGAUCGGUUCUUAUUUAGUUUCCAGUAUGUGCUGAUUUUGAAUCUUGUUGCAGGUUGCAAGGCAGCUUAAUGUACUGAUUGAUCCAGACAACCUUCAUCUGCCUACACCGUUGACGACAUUCGGGGAGUAUGAGGUGCCCAUGCGUCUGCCGAGGUCAAUCCCAUUGCCAGAAGCAAAAGUUAACUGGACGCUGACUGUUAAAAUCAGGGGAAGAUAGAGGGAGCAUCUGCUGUAGGAAUCUUUGAAAAAAUCAUGGGCGUUUAGUUAUGCUGGAGUUGGAUCUGUGUUGCUGGAAGUCAUUGGAGACAAGUAUGUUGCAGUUUUUUGUUUAUGCCCCAAUCUGUUUCUUCAAAUAAUUAGGGUGAUUUGAUUGAAUUUCUGAUGAGUUCUGGCAAGUGUAGGAUACAGUACGCAUAUUAUUAAUGGCCUGAUAGAAGCUCCUUUGUCCGGGUUCAUGAACAUUUUCUUCAGCUGUGUGGACGUUUGAUCCUGUACUUAGAGCAUUUGAUAAGAGGAUUAUUAUUUGAUGCCCUAGGUUUUAAAUAAAACGACGCUCUAAAUUCUGUAAAAACGAUAUUGUUCUUGGCCUUCUACUUGUUUUGAUUGGCCCAAGGAGCCGUCCGGCCGGUCGUUUUGGCCUACAGUAAAGCCAGCCCGAAUGAUCGGUCGGCCGGCUCUUUGGGCCAGCCGAAAUAGGUGGGCGGUCGGAAUCUAACACACCGAAAUAGGUGGCCGGUCGGAAUCUAAUACUGGCCGAAAAGGGUGUUCGGCCGGGCCUUAAUGUUGGCCGAAACGAGUGGCCGGCCGGCUCUUUAAUUUUUUUUAUAUAAUUUUCGUGAGGUUAAUUGCGAGUUAAUUAAACGAUAAUAGAUCAUAAUUCAACAACUUAAUAUAAAAUUUCGUAUAAACCUAUACAUUACAUAAUACUAAAAGUAAUUCAUAAUCGGAAAAUAUAAUAACAUAAUUUCAUAACAUAAUCUAAUAAUGUGAUUACUAAUAAUUGAUUUUGUUAGGAAUUUAAUAAAUAGAGAGAUUUUUUCUCAAAUACUGCUCAGUCCUCUGAAUCUCAUCACGUCCUCCAUCUAUCUUAUUUUUAACCAACAAGAUAGGAAUCUCGUAUCCACAACUGCCGUCAAUGGAAAACAAAUCAGAACAGAGGAACUCUAAGAAUGAUACUAAAACACACUUAAUUUUGUAUACCCUCGAAGCAACCGAAUCCAUCUUUGAAUGCUGUCAUAUGCUAUCUGGCUCCUUGUAUCGAACAUGAUGACUACAACACCAACUUGGAUGCUGCAAUAGAGUGUCACAAUUAUACAAUUAGUACAAAAUUCAUCAUUUGAUAAACAUAAAACUUUAGAUGUCAUAACACAUACAAAUGUCCUUCUGUAAAUUCUCCAGGCUUUCCAGGGUUAUCCCACACUUCAUAUCGUUGCUGAAAAAGCAACAAAACAUUAUAGUAAAGAACUAAUUUUAUUUAGCAAAGGGAGGCAACAUUUACCUGCGUAAUCAGUCUCAAAAGUUCUUCCCAUCAGUCAGAAAGUAGUUUUGUAUGAUAUUAUAUAUUGUCCGUAUUUUACUUUAUAUAGUCUGUAUUUUAUCAUAAAUGGAUUAUUAUAUCCUUAAUAAAAAAAUUACAAACUCAGUCCGUUUUUACUUUGUGUAGUUCAUUUUUACUAAUGCAGUCCAAUUUUACCUUUUUGUUGUCCGUUUUUAUUUCGUGCAGUUCAGUUUUAUUAAUGCAGUUCUUUUGUUAUAAANNNNNNNNNNNNNNNNNNNNNNNNNNNNNNNNNNNNNNNNNNNNNNNNNNNNNNNNNNNNNNNNNNUGUAAUUUGUAAAAAUGGACUGCAUGAAGUAAAAACGGACUGUAUUAGUAAAAACGAACUAUACAAAGUAAUUUUUUAAUUAAAGAUAUUUUAGUUUAUUUACGAACGACACGAAGUAAAAAUGGACUGUAUAUAGCAUUGUGCUAAUAAAAACAACUACAACUUCAACAAUCAAACUAGAAAGAUACUAAAUUCAAAACUCUAACUAAGCUCUAAAUAUUGAAGACAGGGGCAGCGACAACAAUUUCGAUCCGGGCGGUUCGAUUUCUUUUUGAAUUUUUAAUGAUCUCCAUUCAUUGUUCUUUAGGUAAUCACAUUCAUCACAAGGUUUUAACGUUUGUUGGAUGCACAGACUCAGACUCUCUCGUCAUGAGUACUUCGGUAAGUGGUCGUCAAUUUUCUCGACAUAAUUGAAUGAAUAGGAAGAUGUGUAGAUAACUGAUAAAUGUAGCGUACGUUUAUGUGUUUAUAUUGUAGGGUGAUUCAUCGGGGAAUAAGGGUGACAAAAUAAAUUACACCGAACGAUUUUUAACCAAUGAAGUUUACGAUACUCCAGAGGAAGCUUGUGCAGAUGCAAAGCGAAUUGCCCAGUCGCUUAAUUUAAAGGUGAUUAAUGGAUCCAACAAAAUCAAUAGCGUAGAGCCCGACUAUCAGGUGUAUCUUUUUUUCUCCCGUUGGCCUGCUCGCAAAUUCUCGAGGUCCGACCCACCAAAACGGAUGUCGAAGUCCAGGAAGUGUAACUGCCUCUUCAAACUUGUAGUGAGGUCAAGGGUGGUAGAUGGAGAGUGGAAGUUUUGGUUGACGAUGUAGGCCAAACUGACGAUCCUACACAAUCGAAAUAAUACCACAAUCAUCUUUUCGUACCAAAUCCUUAAACUAGCAUGGAAAGCGAUACACUUACAAAGAAGAACGAAAUCAGGGACAUGGUUGCGACUCACAAACAACCAAAUAAGAACAUGUAUGUUCUGAACAAGAAGUUCACCGCUCAUCACAAUAUGAAUCAAAUAUACGAGUGGUAUAAGAUUAGGAAGGUGAACUUAGGUGCCAUGACUCCGACGGAUUGGACAUUGAGAACUACUACAUAGCUAGGCUACUUUGUUUAGUCUAUAGAGAGGAUGAGGAUGAAAAUCUUGCCAACCUCUUUCUCAGCCACCUCGAGUGUGCUAUGAUGUUAGGGGCUUGGUAUUAUGUGAUUCUGAUUGACUCGACCUUCAAUACCAACCUCUAUAGGAAGCUAGUGAUCCGGUUGACUAGCGUGACUCCGGUGCAGAAUAACUUUAGCAUUGGGUUCGCACUCGUUGAGAACAAAAAUGCUGAGACUUAUGUUUGGGUGUUGAAUCAGUUGUGAAUGUUGCUGGGGGCCACGUCAACCAACUGCAUUUGUGAGUAACAAGGAGCGCUGAUUAGCAGUCGGGUUGUGCAUUGUCUUCCUAAAAACGUCACACUUACUUUGCGUGUGGCAUAUGAAAAGGAAUAGCGCGGCAAAAAUUAAGGGAAUUUUUUUUGUAAACCCAAUUUAAUCGAAAAUUACGUCGAUAAUCAAGUGGUAACAUUAAUUACACGAUUUGGCCAUUACAGACACCUACGAUGCAUGGUGCAUCGUAGGUAGCCUGUAACGGCUAUAAUGUAACGGUCGUUAUAUGACCCACGAUGUAGCGAGCUCCGCCCACAGUGGGCACAUCAGCCUCCUCAGUCACAGCAGCAGAGGGGACAUCAGCCUCCUCAGUCACAACAGCCUACCCCAUCAUAGUGGGUCGCCCAGAUGACACAUGAUGUAGCGAGCUCCUCCCACAGAUAGUGGGUAUCACAAUCGACGCACUCGGAGACUCUAUUCAAGACGACGACACUAGAUGACCUGAUUUUCAGAGAAGGCGCUGAUGACACAACACCUCAGAGAAGCCACCACUUGGGUUUUGACCACAUCCUCGAAAGGUCAGGUAUAACAUCGGAGACCACCCCAGGGCAUAUAACUAGAGGGGGGUGGGUCGUGGGUAGACUAUAUUAUUAUGCAUGUUGAUGUGAUGUAUUUUCGACACACCUUUUCUCGUUAUAAACUAUAUUUUUGUGUGUCGAAAUGUAUUCAAAUUUGGGUUUUGAGUACAUGUUUGGUUCUCUUGCCCCUCGGGGCGGUAUUAUGGUGUUUGGUAUGUUUUUGGUAUAUUUCAGGUGUCAUAUGACGUUUGGAGAUAAACCAAGACAUGAUGGGGAGGCCGGAACAACUCAAAGCGUUCGACUUUGGAAGAAAGCGUCACUGUUUAGUAUUUUGAGCAUAACUCAUCGCUCCGAAGUCCAAUUGAUGCAAGGUCAGCGGCGUUGGAAAGAUAAUUCGAUUGUCUACAACUUUGAUGUUGACACUAUGGUCAAAUUCCGUAUAAUGAAGGAACACGGCGUGUUCCUACGCUGAAAUUGCCCGAGAAAGUUACAGGGCCGAACACGGCCAGGAACACGGCCGUGUUCAUGGAACACGGCGUGUUCCAUAUGGAGCACGCCGUGUCCCACCCCCAGACGGGUUUUCAAGUCCUUUUCCUUCUCCAACAUGGUCCAGAAGCCUAUAAAUACCCCAGAGACCCCCAAGGACGAGAUAUACUUCAUUAUACACAUAUUUUCGAGCUCUUGGAGAGAGCUAGAGUUCCAGAGAGACGAUUGAAGCGAGAGGAUCAACCACGACUGGCGAAGGGAAAAUCAUCAAGUUGAAGAUUGGGAUUUCCACGAAGAACAUGUCGUCUCCGGUUUUUCUUCUCUUGUGAUUUAUUUUCCGGAACCAUGAGUAGCUAAACUUUCUGUGUUGUUCGGAUGAGAUGAAGCUUUAGCUAAGCUUUGUAUGGAUGAUUUGAUUUGUUAUUGAGGUUUAUUCAGACUUAUGAUGCGUUCUUCCUAAAACCUAAUUUUAGAUUCUUUCUUGUCUGAUCAUCUUGAUUGAGUCAUCGACAUUGAUUUGUGGGUCCGAGAGGAACAUAGGUUGAUAGGUCGCUUAGGAAGAACCCUAGAUUAUUCGUUAGCUCGAGAGAGGAGCGAAUCGUUUAGGCUCUUUGCACGUUUAUCGUUGUGGCAUUUCAUCGAACACUAUUAAUGCAUUUUGUUUAGGUGUAGAUUAGCUCGAGAGAGGAAUCUACAGUUAGACGAAAUAGAUCCUUAGAGGCGCGAGAGUGAUCUAAGACUACAUUAGGAAAUUGCCGAGCUGUUAUAACCUGAAUAACCGAGAUCAUUUAUCAUUCAUUCAUACAUUGCUAGCUUUAGUGGAUUUGAAUCCGAGCAACCUUCAUCUUAUCUUUGAAACUCGAUUCCUUGCAUUUUGAUUUGUUUUAUUUCAGUCAUUAGUUCAUAAUUGGAUACAAAAAUAAUAAAACAAACAAUCAUUACACUGUCACUUGGUCUAGUUAGCAAAUCAACUCUCAUUUAUAUGACUAGUGUUUUCUGACUUCUGUUUUAGUCAUUAUUUCAACUUGUUUCCACUCACAAUGAUGUAAUGACUACCAUUUACUCAUCUUUCGACCACUUGGAUUCAAUGUAAUACGAGAAUUGAGAACAAUGACCAUUUAUUAAAGACAACAACCACUUUUAUUCAACAUUUCAUAACAACAACCACUAUCACCUUCUCCACUUAAGUUUUGCAUCCUUCAAUAAGAGCAUUUAUCCUUCAAGCUUACGAUGACUGCCCUCUCAACUGCCCAUUCAGCACGAGCAACUUCCAUCUCAACACGAGCAGCUGCAAUCUCAGCAUCCUUCUCAGCAAGCUUCGCCUCCAUUGUAGCUCUCAUCUCGCACGUCGUCGAGUUCUCAGCCAACACCACCUCCUCUAUGUUAGUUUUAAAACAAAAAGUCAUAAAUAAAUAUUUUUAAUACCUAAACUACCCCUUUAAAUAUGAGCUUUUAUAUAAAUACCUCAUCUAGAGAAGUGUUGUCAAUGGUAACCUCAAAGGACUCAAACUGAAGCGGAGCUGCCCUACUACUCAUGUCCUAUUCGCUGAUGAUAUCAUUCUCUUUGGACAUGUCUCAGUCGCGAAGGCCCAUGAUAUCAUUGUAACCAUCGCCGAAUAUGGUCUCCUUACUAGCCAGGAGAUCAAUUUCCACAAAUCAACGAUUACCUUUAGCAGCAAUACCUCGGCCGCCCUCCAAACCUACCAAUGCUCUGGGAUUCCAACCGGAUUUGGAAUUCGAGAAAUACCUCGGCAUCCCUCUUAUUGGGAAAAUGUAAGAAGGACAUGGCUGCAGGAAUUCUUAAACGGAUGGAGAACAUGGGCCAAUAAUGGAAAAACCUCACCUUAUCCCAUGUAGGGAAAGAGACAUUUCUCAAAGCAGUUGUACAAGUCAUGCUAAUAUACAUGAUGUCCUGCUUCCUCCUUCCAAAAAAACCUGAAGGGAAUGAAUUCCCUUGUACGUGCCUUCUUCUGGGGGCUCAAUGACAAAGAAAACCAUCCAUUGGAAGUCCAGGAAGAUCCUUUGUAACCCUAAGUCGAAUGGAGGAAUGGGCUUCAAAAAUUUUAGGGAUUUCAACGUCGCACUCCUAGACAAGCAGGGUUGGCGGAUCCUGAACGAACCUGAAAAACUAUGGGUUAACCUACUCAAAAGUCCUUUACUUCCCCUCUACCUCCUUCCUCGAGGCCAUGAAAGGAAGUCAUCCAUCCUUUAUUUGGGCUAGCAUUUACGACCCCAUGAUAGCUCUUACCUCGGGAGUGUGCAAGAAUCUCUUAAACGGUAGAUCUAUAUCCAUUGAAGGGGACCCUUGGAUCCCAUCCAUCCAUGGCUUCCGCCUUUCCCCUUCAGGCGGAGAACCCUUGAUGGCCCACACCUGGAUGAACCCAACCGGUGAGGAGUGGGAUGAAAAUUGUUUGAGGGCAAACUUCACAACCGUGGAAGCCACAGAGAUCUUGAAAAUCCCAAUUGGGCCGCCCAUGUUGACGACCAAUGGACCGGGCAUUUUAUCCGCAAUGGAAAGUUCUCCGUUCGUUCGGCCUAUCACCUUAGGAUGAGAGGCCCUACACAACCAAUAGUGGAACAGAAAUGGAGAUGGCUCUGGAACCUAAAGCUACCUCUUAAGAUUCAAGUGUUCUUGUAGAGAAUUGCCCAUGAUGCCUUGGCUACAAAGAAUAACCUAUGAAAGAGGCACUGCUCCCCAGACCCAUCAUGCUCCUUAUGCCACAUCUUGGAGGAGAAUGUCUUCAACUGCAUGCUUGAAUGCACACACGCUAAGAACACAUGGAGGAAAGCGUCCCAAUGCUAUCCACUCCGCCCCCACUUCGUGUAUCCUCCAAUGGCUAUUCACUUUGCACCAGGCUGACCCCCCUUACGACAUGCUCCCCCUGGUUGCGUUACUGUGGAAUAUCUGGAGAGCUAGGAAUGAAUGCAUUUUCAGGAACAAACCCUAUGAGAUAAACACUACUAUCCUCCUCUCAACUCGGUUGGGCAAGACCUGGAAGUCCAGCAAUCCUUCCCCUAUGCGAUCGCAAUCUACUAAACGCUAAGCUCCUAGCCCACCGCUUGGCUCUAGCCACUUGUUGGAUAUCCAUUGUGACAGUUCGUUCACAAUGCCAUCCUCCCUGGCGGGAUAUGGGGUUGUCAAUAUAGACUCCCAUGGGCAGGUUGCUCACGAUACUGCGGGACUCUUAUAUGCUCGGAUCCCCUGGUAGAAGAAGCUAAGGCCCUCCUUACAUCAAUCAAGAUAAAAGUUGACUCUGGCCUACCCUCGUCCGUCAAGUCCGACUGCCUCACUCUUAUCAACGGGCUCAGGAAAAGCCACAUCAUUGGUAAUGACAAUGCGCAGCCUGGAUGCACUACAUGAGUGACACUCUAAAGGCUAACCCUUUCAUUCGGGUCUCCUUCAUCCCCUCCCCCACCCCGGCACAACAUCAUGGCGGCCGCGUAGCCAAAGCCGCUGCUAAUAGGACGCUUCCCGACAAUUGGCUUCAUCACGAUUAUUUUUUUUAUCCUUCUUGUAUUGUACCUUUUCACCCACCGUAAGCAAUAAAAUGAGAUUCAUUUGUCAAAAAAAAUAUUAAGUGUAGUUUUGAGGCAGUCAACUUACGCAUUUUGACUACGGAAAAAAAUUCGUCGAAACUAUAUUAUGAAUGUGCUUGUUUUGAUAAUUUUUGAAAAAUACUAAUAUUUUGGCACAAAAGUUAUUCAAAUCUGAAUUCGUAUGUAAAAAAUAUUAAUUAAAUAAAUAAAUAGGAAAACAAAUAUUAAUUAAUAUGUAAAAUAAAUAAAUUAAAUUAAAUGGCAGUAAAUACCCUCUACUCCAAAGGGAAAAAUUUCAGCCAACACAGAACAAGUAGAUUGAUUCUGAAGAGAGGAAAAGAGAGUUACCAAUUUCAAAUAGUAAUCUUUCUGCAAGUGAGAUCAGAGAUGAGAACUUGGUAUUACAUAAUGCAAUUUUACGAAAAGAAAUGGAGUCAGAUCGGAGAUCGCAUAUAGCAAUCGGUUUGUUUGUGUCCACAAAUUAAAGGAAAGUGAUCGUUAAAUCAGUUAAAGGCCAAGCUUUUGCCUUUUGGCGCUCUGAUCUUCUUAUCCGUCCCAUCUGUAGUGCCCCUAAACUUCACUCACCACCGAGUUACAACUCUGACUCGGCUGGUCCAAACUCACCCACACUCCAACAAUGGCUCUAUUAGGGCCACACCAGCUCGAACGGCUCCCACUGACCAACCGCCAACUUGGUCACUUCUCCACCGGCGGCCGUUUCUCCAGACCACCCACCACCGCUAACAUACUUAGCACAGCUCAACAUCACCCUCUUCCAGUCCAUCAAUCUGCCAAAACCCUUCGUUGCUCAGCCAUCGCCAUAGACGCAGCUUCUAGUUUCUCCGAUGUCGCUGGUGUCAGGUGGGGGUUCACUUCCGUCCAGGGCGUCCGUGAGGAGAUGGAGGAUGAUAUCGUCAUUCGAUCCGAUGGCGGCCUUGACGGGUUCUCUUUCGCCGCUGUUCUCGACGGCCACGGCGGCUUCAAUUCUGUCAACUUCCUCAGGUACAAAUGGGUUAAUUUUCUUUUUGUGCCCUAAAAUUCCAAUCGGCUUCCCUAAAUUUUCAAUUUCAUUGAUAACAGGGAUGAAUUGUACAAAGAGUGCGUGGCUGCUUUACAAGGUGGGUUGCUAUUGGGUGGGAAAGACUACAACGCCAUCAAAGAGGCUCUGGAAUCUGCGUUCGUCAAUGUUGAUUCGAAAUUGUUAACCUGGUAUGUGUAAAUUCAUUUUGCUUCACCUUUUGAAAUGGAUGAUAGAGUUGAAGAUUAAUUUUAGAUAGUGUUUGUGUUAUAUGUCGAUCAAGGCUGGAAAUGAAUCACGCCGAGGAUGAAUCUGGUUCGACUGCCACUGUUGUGAUUAUCGCAAGUGAUAGGCUCAUCAUUUCCCAUAUCGGGGACUCCAAUGUGGUUAGCAUUUCAUUUUCGUUUACUUCAUGUCAGCUUUUUAUACAUGUUUUCUUUUUCAAGUAUCUAAUUCCUUGUAAGGGUAUACUACAUUGGUGUAGGUAUUGUCUCGUUCUGGUAAAGCAGAAGUGUUGACUGAUCCUCAUCGUCCAUAUGGAAGCAACAAGAGUUCCCUUCAAGAAAUCAGAAGAAUCAGGGAAGCAGGUGGAUGGGUGUGUGUUUUUUCUGCUCUUUUGUUUGUUUUCCCUUUUAUUACUCUAAAUACUUUUUCUAGAUAUAGUUUUACUCUGCACCGGAAUGAUGUCUGCAAACCCGAAUGAACUCGUAUCUUAGUCCUCAGAGCUCAUUCUCCUAUUACCAUCUGCUGAUAAGAGAGCCCAAGCAUUUCGAGGUCUUGGAAGCUUUGGCAUUUUAUUUUCUCAGGUCUUGUUUGCUAUAGAAACUAGUGUCAAGGAUUCGUUUCCCUCUAUCAUUUUGCUCUGUUCCAAUAUUGCUUCAGCUUUCCCUGAAUGUGGUCUAUCAUGAACGUCACUGCACCGGUAGAUACUCAUUGUAUUGUGAUAGAGACGAACCCUUGUAUUACAUUGGAAACUUACGUUUGAUGCAAUGCCUCCAGAUCAACAAUGGGAGGAUUUGUGGUGACAUAGCUGUAUCUCGUGCAUUUGGUGAUAUGAGGUUCAAGACGAAGAAAACUGAGUAUAUCCCGGUCACUUCUCCUUGAUAUGGUUAUUUUGUCAAUUUUUACGAGUGUUGGGAACUUUCAUUUUAAUAGCGUAUAUGGUGUGGUAUGAACAGGAUGUUGCAGAAAGGAGUCCAGGAAGGUCGAUGGACAGAGAAGUUUACUUCUAGGUAUGAGAUCUCGUGAUGCUAUUCUGGUGGUUUUAUUUUGUUCAGACCUUGUUGCAUCCUAACUACAUAAGAUAGAAUCUAUACAGAGUGAUGGCUGCUAAAAUGUCAAAAUUAAUAUUUCAAUACAAAGAUAGAUGUUUACCAACUACCAGCGAAAAUUUCAGAAAAAAUCAUGAAGUAUAUAUUUUUGAAACCUUGUCGUCACGUACUUCAGUUGAAAAGGGAACCUCUUUUAACUACUGCUAUUGAAUAAGAUAAUAAGAUCAUUGUCAGUUUCACAUGCAAACAAAGAGAUGAUGGUAAUGUAUUCUACGUCUCCACCGGGGUCUCUUGCAAAGCCCUUAGUUAUAUGAACUUGUCAUAAAACCAUUUCUAGUUGAAAGUUUCAAAUGCAGCACUUGAAUCUAAUAUGUUAAGAUUAUAAGUAGAAUAUCUUGACAAAUUUAUGGAGUAGUUGAAAACUUUGGGUCUAGACUCAUUAAUACGAAUUUCGUUGUAAGCUCAAUAAUCUCUUACUAAUAAAUAAAAAAUGUAUAUAUUGUUUUAAAUAUCGGCUACCCAAGAGGGUUCGAGGGCCACUACUUAGGAGUCCUCCCUCAGAUGGCGGUGAUACCAAUUCAUUAGGGCUGUAUAUGAUUGGAUUGAAAGUUGAUGCAAUAUGAAUAUGGCAGGCCAUAAUAUUCUGCAGUUUCAGGUCUCAGGAUCAGCAUUUGUCUGCAUGGUGGUAUAGGUUAUAUGUGUCUUGUAAAUGACUGUUCUUGAGCUGGAUUGUGAUUGCUGAUUGCAAUUUCGUUCAUGGAACUUAAUUACAUUUCUGCAUGACACCAAUCAUAGUGUACGCAGAAAAUUAGUAGGCUAUUCAACUGUGUUGCAUUUGGUUCAGAGAGUGAAAUCCUUGGUGCUGUGACAGAGUGCAAUUCAAUGGAGACUUAGUUGUUGCAUCUCCAGAUAUUUAUCAAGUAACAUUGGGUUCAGAUGCCGAGUUUAUACUAUUAGCAUCUGAUGGCUUAUGGGACUACAUAAAAAGGUUGUUUAGAUGUUCAUAUUUCGACUUUAUUCGAUUGGGCAACUAUCAGAGAAGGCCUGCGAAUUUAAAAGUAUUCCCCCUUUCUGUGUUUCAGUUCAGAUGCAGUUCAAUUUGUUAGGGAUCAACUUAAGCAACAUGGAAAUGUCCAGGUAACCUUUAACGUUUCGUUUCAAACAACAAUUUGAAGAUGCAACAAGUCAUUAUCAGUUUAUCACCUUAAUUUGGCUGGACAUAAAUGCAGCAAACAUUAUUAAUUAUGCAAUUCAACUUCUGACUUCAGGUAGCCUGUGAAGAACUUGCAAGAGCAGCUCUGGUAACAAUCGUGCAUUUAGUCUUCAUCUUUUGUUUUUGUUCAACGUGGGAUUAACAUUGACAAAAGUCAGCCUGAUUGUAACUUAAGAGGUUGCUUAUUUUCCCCAGGAUCGACGUUCACAAGACAACAUUAGCAUCAUUGUCGCAGAUUUAGGGUAGGAACCUUAUCCGACCUAUAUCAUUUCUGAUGUUUUGCUGAAAAUAGGUAAGUGGAGGUUCUUGUCGAAGUUGAAAAUGAUGCAGUUGUGUGUUUGAACUUGUGAAACAGGAGGACAGAUUGGCAAACUGUGCCGGUUGAGCAGAAAAAUGUUGUGUUUGAACUAGGCCAAGCUUUUGCUACGAUUGGCAUCGUCUCAGUUGGAAUAUGGAUGACAUGUCUGCUUUCUUUCUAGAUCAGAAGGAUCCUAGAUGUUAUUAUCAUGUAUAUAAAGAAAAAUCAGCAUAGACUUGUAAAUGUAAAGUAGAUAUGAGCAUAAACUGAUACAGAGGCUCUGUGUCUGAAUCAUUGGCACCCACAUCUGCAGUAGUAGUUACUUUUACAAAUGCAGCUGUGCAGUUUGACUGGAGGCAUCACCAAAACAGUAAUUUUAUGGGAUGGAAUGAGACAGGAGUUGUAAUGGUGGGUUGUUUUCAACCUAUCUUUUCUUGUUGAAGUGGAUGGACUUGGACUUGGACUAUGGAAGAGCCAUCUCCCCACUAAAACUAUCAUGCAGGCACCAAAAUGCCUUAAUGGGAUGGGAUGGAAACUAGAGUUGAAAAACCAGAGGAGAUGUUGAACUAUUGGUGGUGGCAUCUUUCUGACCUCAAUUUGUGGGUCUCUGUAACUAUUGGUGGGUAGUCAAUAUAUGAGAGAUCAAUAGUGGAAGGAAGAGAAGUUGAUGAUAAUAUUAAUUCAAUUCCAAACUUGACUGAAAUAUUGGUUAUUUGCUUUUUACCCUUUUUGCACGAAAAGUAGCUAGUAAAGUAACCAUUUACCUUGCACUAACCACAACAUUUAGCCUCCUAACAAGUGCGGUGCACCGCACGGCAGUGGCCAUGAUUCCGAACCUUGAUUGUUACAUGACACGACGCUCAAUUGUCAAAUUUCCGUUAUAGUCUGUUACAAUAUAGUCGUUAAAGGAGUCCCUAUGCAUGCCACCCUGUAUGGUUAGUUUCUCGUAAAUUAUAAAUAGAUCGAGCUCACCUUCUAUUUCAUUCCAUAUCAUACAUUCCUCCUCUCACUACUCACUAAUCCCUCCUCCCACCCUGGACAUCAGUUCGGUUUGAGAGUGGAUCCUCGAAAGACCCUAUGCUCUUCUUGGCCACACCCUAUAGGCUAUAGUUGAUCGCUGGAGGCAACGAGGGCAUAGAGGUCGAGGCGAUCGCCGUCAGGCACAAUAGUUGUUUACUUUUCUAGUGUCUUUAGUGUUAAUUGUCCGUGUUAUUAUUUUGUAUCGAAUAUUAGAUGUCUAUUUCGUAUUCACAAUUUUUUUGUAUGGUACAUAUCUUUUUAUGGGAGAAAAAUAACUAGUUAUAUAAUUGAUAGCAUAGCUAAUUAUUUGUGAAAAUAUUAUGCAAAAUAAUAACUAAUUACAAGAUUAAUAAUAUAACUAGUUAUAAUACUAUUAUUAUUGCUUCAUAUAAAUAUAAGUAAAAUAACAAUCGAAUCACAGGAAGCAAAUUAUUCUUCAACUCAAAAUCCAGCCUCCUCUUCUGAUGCAUAUUAUUCUCAUAAAACUCAACUUGGGAUUUAUGGCCUAUUGAAACAACCCUCUAAUGAGUUCAUUAAAAUUAAUUAAUAGUGACAUAAACUAUAUAAUAAAGUUGUCGACUUUUUUAAUUCAGGGGUUCCUGCCCGACCUGCCCCUCCGAGGAUCAUGUCUAGAGUUGGCUCCAGUUUCAUCAUAGUCUGCAACAUCCGUCAUCAGCAUCUUCCUCGUCACCUUGUAAUACACUGAUGGCGGAUUUGGAUUCUUCAUCGUGAUUCCUUGUCUGGAGCCCUCAGCCGUGCCUCCUGCAUGCAUCACUCCAAAAAUCAUAAACUAUAACCAAGCUUUCAUGUAGCUACCUCAUUCGUAUUUUCGACCCCAUUUGAAUUAAAUCGAAAUUCUUAAGAUUCGAUCAUUUUGAAUUUUUUAGAUAAAAUUUAUUCCAUUCUGUAUUUUCCAAUCUGACAAUCACCAUGAAGUCAUAACCGAUUAAAAAGCAAAGCCACCUCAAUAAGUAAUAAUUAAAUAUUACAAAAAGCGUCGGUGGCACAUGUAAUUUUAUUAUAAUUAAAAAUAAUAUAAUGAAUGUGUUUUUAUAUUUUAACUUAGUAUUAAGUUUAAAUAAUGUAUUUGUCAAUUGACUCUCGACGCACAAACUUUCAUUCAAAUAAAACUUAAUAUAUAUUUUCACAUAUCCUUCAUUAAUUAACAAAAGAUUAAAAGACCCCCAAAACAACAUCUAAUUAGCUUUGGGGCCCCUUACGUUUCGAGUUCGUACAAAAGCAGUUCGUAUCUUUACAAACAAUUGAUAUGUCCUUAAACGUUUCAAAAUCUAACAAAUCCGUCUUUUCGUCGAUCUUCAAUGCACUUCUCUAUAAUAUUUUUUUCUAAUCAGCAUGUUUACUCAGUAAAAUUAAUAUGUGAUUGUCCACCUCAUCUCACUGUAUCCAAAAUAAAUUUCUCAAUCGGGUAUAUACUAAUGGUCUGGUGGCCGUUAAUAUGGUGUAUAGGGAGAGAAUUGAGGUUUGAUUUCUACUUUCUAGCUUGAUCGGAGGGGGGCUAGCAACAUAAUCACCGAACUGAUCUCCGUAGUCGACACUUAAUAUUGUGAUCAAUCUUAACAAACGAUAUACAAUCUAAUUAUAAACCUCUUCCAACAAUUCGAUAUAUCGAGAUAGUUCUCCGCAAUCAAUACCAGAAAGCAAAUGAAGCUUUUUUCCAGUGGUACUAACCUGCUGAAGUUGAAGAUGAGCAGCUAGGAGCAGUGAAGAUGCAGAGGUAGAUGAGAAGAAAGGUAGUGAACAUUCUAUGAUCAGUUUCUGAGGCCAUGCUCGAAUUAUUAUGGAUCUCAGACGAAAGCUGUGUUUUUUUCUUCCCAGUAAGAGCAGAUGGGAAUAGAUGGGGAGGAAGGCUUAGUCCCAUUAUAUAUACAUAGACCUUAGUGGAAUUAGGAGUGAAAGAAUCUACACUAUUGUUUAAAAUAUUUUGGUGUAAAAGUGACCAUUUUUUUAAUGCAAAAUUAAAGAUUAUAUUGAAUUUUACUUUGUGCCAUGAUAUAUAUCAUUGCAAAUAAUCAGAAUUUAUGUUACGGAAAACUUGUUAAAUCGUAGCAAAAAAGUAAAUUUUAUGCUAAAGAUUACAAAAACUUAGGCGACGGUCUAUAUUCAAACGUGGUGACAAAAUCUAUCCGUUGUAAAUACCAUUCUGCAACGGAAAGAAGACUUUCUGCGACGAUAAUUUCCGUAGCGGAAAGGUCCAAUUUUUUUUUUUGAUAGUGGAAUUGAAGGGAAUGCCCUCCCAACAGUAGUUGAGUUGAACAAGCAAAAUGUCAUGCAUAAAUAUCAGCUAGGUUUAUGCCCACUAAAUUUGCUACAGAAUGAUGACGAAAUGCAUUAGUUAAAUAUAAAUUAAUUGGUCCAACACAAGACUAGAAAUUAUAAUCUCAAAGUCAACUAUAUAUAUAUACUUGUCAUUAAUUAUUUGUAUCAAAUAUGUGCAACAUCAACUUAAAGAAGAGUUACUGUAACACCCACCAAAGCAAGGCAUUGCAUGUGGAGACAAAACACUAGCCAUCACCAAGCAUAAUCAUCAUAUUAUAUACCCUUCAUUUGCAUGGCUUCAACUUUCUAGGGUUGCAGCUCGUUCUAGAAUUUCCGAGCGGACGUGUCAAUUUUUUUUGAUAAUCUAGCUUGAUUAAACUCCGGAAUUGGAGGUUUGAAGGCCUGAUAUUAAUGGUACGUGUGGAUUGAACGGAUAAAAUAAACGUUUUCUAUAUAUGGUCUAUUUUCACGGAGGAUAUGCAUAUGAUAACAUAAGAAAUAAUGAUUAGAUUUAGGUACUAGGAUUUUAUGGAUAAAAUAAAAAGGACAAAUAGGUAAUUAUACUGGUAUGUUUCGCCUAAAACUAACCUCCGGGUUUUUUUCAUUUUCAAAUCUACAAAAAUUUCGCCGAAACCACAAAAAACCCUCUGCCUGCUCUCUAUCUCUAUCUCUCUUUGUUUUCGGAAAAGCCUUCUACUCCCCUUGUCGGCGCUACUUCAUCCGUCAUGAGUGAAUGGGCUACGAUGGCCGAUUUUUUGUAGUACUCGAAUUAAUAGGUACCACUAAAGUUUUGGGGCAAAUUUUAUAGAUUUAUCCUUUUGGAAAUAAACUACUUUUCGUUUUGUAACCCACUUAUGGGUUGCACCUCUCGGAGACACUUAUGUGUUGUACGGUUGUACUCAUUUUUCAUCAAAUCAAUAAGAUCAUAGUAUGCGAUUCUCGUAAAAAUAAUAUUUGAGAAAUCAAUUCAUAAGGACCAAUCACUACCAAUGAUGCUUCAACCUGAAUCGUGACAUGAGUCGGGAGUGUACCGCAGAAUUGGAUGUCACCUUGUCACUAAAAUAAAUUAAAGUUGGUGAUUUUAUCAAAUAUUUAUUUUUGUGUUCCUAUUGCUGCUAGCUAGCUAGGCCUACUUCUUCAACUUUUCUGAUUGCACAAGUGACAUUGAGAGACAUUAAGUGCAAGUACAUUAAGGAAAAGUGCUUUUAAUUACACUAGAAAUAUCUCGUGCUCUACGGCGGAAAAUGAUAUGGACAAUUCUUGCGAAAAUUGUUGAAAAAGAGAGACUAAGAGAAAAGAUUUUGUUGGUAGUAAGACAUUACAUGUAGCAGAGAGUAAUUACUUUGCACAAAGCAUCAGGGAAUGAGAUCACAGUAGGCUUGGGAGUCGGUUAAUUCGGUUAAUAAUCGUUGGUUAACGAUUGGGGAAAGAGCUUGAUGACUGAAAUUGGUUAAUCGAAUUAACCGACCGAGCAGAAGUCACGGUUAAUCUCACCGACCGAUAACCGACCAAUCAGUUAAAUGACCGACUAUUAACCAACCGACUCUCGGUUAACCAUUGUAACGGGCUCUGACCUAUUUAACUCUCUUCUCAGAUUGCAACAAGAUUCUAGGCUCUAGCUCUGGAUCCGUCGUCAAUUCAAGCCUUGGAGAACAGAGCUUCUCUUCUGGAGACAACCUGGUGCUCUACAACUCGAUCCUUCAGGACUGGAAGCUUCCCGAGACGGUGUUGUUGUGGAUCAGUGAGGAGUGGAGGAAGCCUCAAGCCUAUGGUGUUGCAGAUCGAAGAAUCGAGAGAGUGGAGGAGGAGAGGAGUGGUUGUGGCGACGAAGGAAGCCUGUGGUUUUGCAGAUCGAAGAAUCGAGAGAGUGGAGGAGGAGAGGAGUGGUUGUGGCGACGAAGGAAGCCUGUGGUUUUGCAGAUCGAAGAAUCGAGAGAGUGGAGGAGGAGAGGAGUGGUUGUGGCGACGAAGGAAGCCUGUGGUUUUGCAGAUCGAAGAAUCGAGAGAGUGGAGGAGGAGAGGAGUGGUUGUGGCGACGAAGGAAGCCUGUGGUUUUGCAGAUCGAAGAAUCGAGAGAGUGGAGGAGGAGAGGAGUGGUUGUGGCGACGAAGGAAGCCUGUGGUUUUGCAGAUCGAAGAAUCGAGAGAGUGGAGGAGGAGAGGAGUGGUUGUGGCGACGAAGGAAGCCUGUGGUUUUGCAGAUCGAAGAAUCGAGAGAGUGGAGGAGGAGAGGAGUGGUCGCAGUGGCUCGUCGACGACGUCACUGCUGGCGAGCUCCUGCUGCUGUAAGUCGUCGUCGGUGGGAGAUGGUGAAAUUGAAUCGCUUGGAUUGAUGGAGUUGAGAUGGAUUGUUGGCGAUGGCUUGGAGUUGACCUAAUUUCAGAAUGAGAGGCAGUGAUGCAGUGGGAGGCUGGGAGGGGAGGGAUCGAUUCUGCGAUUGUGGUUAGGAAAGCUUGGUUUUAAUUAUUAUCGGUGAUUUAAUCAACGGUUUUAACCGAUUAACCGGUUACCCGACUUUAACAAUUACUCCCAAUCGUUCCCUGACCGACCCCUACGGUUAAACCGACACUCUAACCAAGACCGAUUGCCCACCCUUAGACCACAGCAAGAGUGGAGGUCUUGUAAGGACAUAAAAAAACCUUUCUAACACAUUAGCAUCUUACCCGGCUUAACCGGGCUCAUUUGAUUUGUAUUUUUUUAAGAUUUAGUUAUCAAGUUCAAUCUUAAUAAAUCAAGAGAACAUAAAUAUUUAUAAUCAAUCAUCUAAUUUAAUGUUAUAAUAUUUAUAAUUUUACUGGGGCCAUAACAAAUUGUAGUAAAAGUUAAUAUGUCACUAUUAAUUUGUCAAAUAUUUAUAAUAUAUGAUAAAAUAUUAUAUAUAAAUUUUGAUAAACUUUAUUUCAUGCGCUUGUUAUUGCUAACAUAAUGUAUCUUUAUUGUUCGUAAAUGGAUAUCGAUGGGUUAUAAUUUUCGAUAAGGCAUUCUUAUCAUUACAAAUAGAAAUAGUAAGUUUAUGAAAAUAUUGAACCUUUAUCCGAUAAGUAUCUAGUAUCAUAAUAUCAAGUGUUCAAUUAUUUAGCACUCAUACUCGAUAAGCAUAUAUAUGUUAAAAGUUAGAUGAAAAAAUUUAUGAAAAUAAUAUAUAACACGUAGACCCGAUAAGCAUAUAUAUGUAACAUAUAGAUUUGAUAAACAUAUAUAUAUGUGACGCAUAUACCCGAAUAUAUAUAUGUAGANNNNNNNNNNNNNNNNNNNNNNNNNNNNNNNNNNNNNNNNNNNNNNNNNNNNNNNNNNNNNNNNNNNNNNNNNNNNNNNNNNNNNNNNNNNNNNNNNNNNNNNNNNNNNNNNNNNNNNNNNNNNNNNNNNNNNNNNNNNNNNNNNNNNNNNNNNNNNNNNNNNNNNNNNNNNNNNNNNNNNNNNNNNNNNNNNNNNNNNNNNNNNNNNNNNNNNNNNNNNNNNNNNNNNNNNNNNNNNNNNNNNNNNNNNNNNNNNNNNNNNNNNNNNNNNNNNNNNNNNNNNNNNNNNNNNNNNNNNNNNNNNNNNNNNNNNNNNNNNNNNNNNNNNNNNNNNNNNNNNNNNNNNNNNNNNNNNNNNNNNNNNNNNNNNNNNNNNNNNNNNNNNNNNNNNNNNNNNNNNNNNNNNNNNNNNNNNNNNNNNNNNNNNNNNNNNNNNNNNNNNNNNNNNNNNNNNNNNNNNNNNNNUUAUAAUUCAAUGUGUCAAUCACUAAUCACUGAUAAACGAGUUUAUAAAAGAUGGAGAGUUAUAAUUUUGCCCCAUAUGAAUUGGAGAUUUAGGGUUCACAAUAUAAGUUGAAAAAAGAGAUGCAAGUGUGAAUCUAGAUGGAGCGAAUUCCCAACUCCUUGAUGCACUAUUGACGCAAUAGUAAAGUACUCACAACUCAAAGAAUCAAACGCUAGCAAACGAGCUCGUAAAGGUGAAUAGUUACAAUUCACCACCUCAAUUGGAGAUCUAGGGCUCAUAAUUCUAUUUAUAAAAGGAGAACAUGAAUCACUAUUAAAUGAAUAGUGUUUGGUUCCCUUAUGAGGGCUUUAUUUUGAGCUUACAUAAUCCCUUUGUGGGUCUUGUGAUAUUUUCCAUUCUUCAAUUGACAUGACUUAAAUUGUCUCGCGCUUUCAUUUUGCUAAUUACGUUUUCUAUAACAAAAGAAAACUUCAUCUAUCUCUACUUAUUCUCUAAAACUUUCUGCAGCAUCGCGCGAAUAAUUCUAAUUCUAAUUAUAAAAGCACAACAUAAGUUACUAUUAAAUGAUUAGUCUUUGGUUCCCCUUUGCGUCUUUUUUUAUUUCGAGUUUAUGAGGGCUUUACUUUGAGCUCAUAUAUCAUCAUUUAUGAAUCUUGUGAUAUUUUUCAUUUUUCAUUCUUCAAUUGAUCAUGUUUUCAUUUUGCUAAUUGCAAGCUUAUUUGUUAAUAUAUUUUCCGUAACUAAAGAAAAAGUUCAACUACCUCCACUUAUUCUCUAAAAAAUUUUACAACACCGCUCGAAUAAUUCUAAUAAUUAAGAAAGUAAAAGUAGAAUGGAACAUAUUUUGAGUGAAACAUUGAGGUUACAUAUAUUUGGUAGCCAUGUCGACGGUAACCAUUUAUUUUUUAUCAAACGGUAAACAUUUAUUAAUUUACACAUAAAAAGGGAAAAAACCAGUAGCUCGGAUACAUAGCCCAGCCAACACGUACACUUGACAGUAGCUUACUUAUGAUGAUGAUGAUGGUGAUGAUGGUGAUGAUGAUGAUGAUGAUGAUGAUAUGGAAAUUAAGAAGGAAAGAGGACAUUUGGGUUGGCGCCAGUGCCGCAGUUUCGAGCCGCGCGAGAUCCACGUGGGCACCUGAUUAGACGGGAACCAUCUUUGUGAACACAUACCCAUAUCUCUUUGAUCUGAUUCAUUCGCCGCUGACUAUUUCUGUUGCAGUUCACUACCGGGUUGUAUGCCCCUAACGAGUUACGGAUCGCGUUGAUUCGAUAUAACCUGUUACUGGGUCGGAUACCUGCAGCGGCUAGCUUCUGGAACACGUUCACAUUUACAGCACGGUCAACCGCCGUUCGGAAGUACCUUUGUAGAGUCCAACCGGAGCAGGUUCCGUGCUUAUUCCACUCNNNNNNNNNNNNNNNNNNNNNNNNNNNNNNNNNNNNNNNNNNNNNNNNNNNCCACCCAAAAUAGUAAAUCUAGCCACAUUUUGAAAUUAUGAUACAGAAUGAACAAGGAUUUACACACUACAUAUAUAUAUAUAUAUAUAUAUAUAAUAAAAAAACUCGAAUUAUUGGAAGGUAACAACAUGACAAGUAGCUAGUCGGUACUAGUGAAGUAAGUACUUACGCUUCUUCGGACGUCAGGGACAGAACCAGGACAAUUUUGGGGGCUCUGGCCGUUGUUCCCGGAGCAGGUUCCGUGCUUAUUCCACUCAUACGUCCAAAACACGCUGUUCGGUGGUCGCUGUAGAUUCGGCCAGUGCGUGUCUAGCAGGGCCAUCGUCGGUGCAUCCACACGUCC